AACAAACUUCAUAAGAAGAAGUAACAUCAGUGAAUGGUUAUAAUAUUCUCAUUUUAUUCAUUUAAAUUUUUUGCAUAUGAAUUUAUGAAACACAAAUUUUGCCGGAAUUACCAUAUCACAAUCAAACCACAUUAAAGACGUGAAACGUUAAAACUUCAAACAACAAGCACAAUCCAACUUCUCGGAACAAGCAUCACACAAACAUAAUAAACACUAAAUUGUGGGGAUGUUCAUACGAUAGACAAUUAAGAAAAGAAACACUUGAAGCUGAAAUCAGACACAAUUUUUUAUUUCAGAAUUCAACACCACCACCACCACGACGGAGUCAAUUCAGAAAUCACCACCACGUAGACGCAGCACCAGGUGAAGGGUCGACUCCUUCUGAAUGUUAUAAUCCGCAAGGGUUCGCCCAUCCUCCAGCUGCUUACCAGCGAAGAUCAGCCUCUGUUGGUCUGGAGGAAUCCCUUCCUUGUCCUGGAUCUUAGCCUUGACAUUAUCGAUCGUAUCAGAACUCUCCACCUCCAAGGUGAUGGUUUUUCCGGUCAGAGUCUUCACAAAGAUCUGCAUCCCUCCCCUCAACCUAAGCACAAGGUGAAGGGUAGAUUCCUUCUGGAUGUUGUAGUCGGCAAGGGUUCGGCCGUCCUCAAGCUGCUUUCCAGCAAAGAUCAAUCUCUGCUGAUCCGGGGGAAUUCCUUCCUUGUCCUGGAUCUUGGCCUUGACGUUGUCAAUCGUGUCCGAGCUCUCCACCUCCAAAGUGAUGGUUUUUCCGGUCAGAGUUUUCACGAAGAUCUGCAUACCACCGCGGAGACGGAGGACAAGGUGGAGGGUCGACUCCUUCUGGAUGUUAUAGUCGGCGAGGGUACGGCCGUCCUCUAGCUGUUUACCGGCGAAGAUUAAUCUCUGCUGGUCCGGAGGAAUUCCUUCCUUAUCCUGGAUCUUAGCCUUGACGUUGUCAAUCGUGUCGGAGCUCUCUACCUCCAAGGUAAUGGUCUUGCCGGUGAGGGUCUUCACGAAGAUCUGCAUACCACCGCGGAGACGUAGCACAAGGUGGAGGGUUGACUCCUUCUGGAUGUUGUAGUCGGCUAGAGUUCGACCGUCCUCCAGCUGUUUACCGGCGAAGAUUAAUCGCUGCUGGUCCGGUGGAAUUCCUUCCUUGUCUUGGAUUUUGGCCUUAACAUUAUCGAUUGUGUCGGAGCUUUCUACCUCCAAAGUAAUUGUCUUUCCGGUGAGGGUCUUAACGAAGAUCUGCAUCUGUAUUUACGGACAAGAAAAUUAUAAGCUCUUAUAAAAUUCAAUGAACAGAACAACACAAAAUCAAUCAAUACUUAGAACAAAGGGGAAUGAAUUUAAUACCUUGAAGGAUUAGGAUUACUCGAAGAACCUUGCUGGUAUAUUUUUUUGAUUUGAUAAGAGUAGAUGAUUUGGGGGUCUAUUUGUAGUGAAAUUUUAGAGAGAGAGACGGAAAACUGUUUGACGGAGAGUACUAGUAUUCGCGGAGAUUAUGACACGUGUAUGGUGGAGCUUUCAUGCUCUAUCUACGCGUCAAGUUUAGGAAUCCAAGUGGAGUUAGGUGACGGAAACUUUGAGGUUUGGGUGGGUGUAGAGCUUGGCCCGGCUGCUUUUAUGAUGGCUUUUAGUUGGGCCGAUUCAUGCUAUCUAGAAGGUUGAGGAAGUAUCUCAAAUCUCAAUCAUAUUUGCUUUUUGCUGGUGGCUUAGGCUUACCCACUCAAAAAAUAUACUCCUCUCCAGUUUUUGGAAUUUUGUUUUUUAAUUUUUAAAAUCAGGUUAAAUAAGACACUAUGAAAUAUAUUUAUGAUCAUUUUGGUUUUUAAUAAUUGAUCAUGUUAAUUAAUUUUAAAAACAACAAUUUUUAGUAUAAAGCUAGCCAGCCUUCUCAGCUCUUUAUAUGCUCCAUUGAUACAAACACAGAGACUCCAAACAAUGUAAAAUUAGUCCUAUAAUAUGUGAUAUGACUAUCCCUCAAAGUGUCAUCAUAUUCAUAUACUAGCUGUGUCCCGUGACUCUGGCACUACAUGGACGGUGAAAUUUAUUCUAAAUUUUAGACGGUCUAGAUAAUUUAUUAGGGUGAACGGAAAAUUCAAAAUCAGUUAUAUUUUGUUAGAUAGAUUGUGGUGUUCUACAAUAUUACGUAGUGUAUUCAACCCAACUGAGUCAUCAGGAAUUUUGUGCUCUGCUAUACCAGUAUCAAGCAUCAAGCUCUAACAAAAACUUUGUAAUUAAUUAUGAGUAGCUUCUUUGGUUUUAAGUAUCAGAUGAUUUCUUUUUAAAAAAUAAAUAAAAAAAUAAUAAUUCUAUUAUCAUCAAGUUCCAAGUUGGACCCACAACAACUUUCUUGUGUUCUUCGAUUCCUUCUGAUGAUGUUUUAUCUUUCGAGUAAGUGUCAUCGGUUCAGCCUUCUGCUAUAUAUACUAGACCUUUUGAAAAACCUCUGGUUGCAAAUAAAUGUAAGUAAGUGGGAAAAAAAGAUAGAAUAUCAAUCUAGAAUUAGAUUUUUCAAAUAUUCUUUUUAUAGGUCACGGUAAUAUAAUCCGAUACUUCCUGUCCUAUCAAUGAGCAGUUGUGGGUAGCGUAGCAUAGAUUUGUGCCCAUAGAGUGAUCAUGACUUAUGGGAUCCGUGACUGUAACUUCGACCUUCCAAUGAUCCCAACAAGCAAAAGUCUCAAAUUUACUGGCCAUAACACACAUAUAUAUAUAUAUACAAAUAUAACUAAUUCGUGUUUGUUAAGUAUUAAUUCUUCAAGUUUGAUUUCAAAGAAUAACAAUGGUAUAUCGUGAACAUAUCUAGACUUUUCUUGUCAUGGUUCAAAUAGAUCAAGUAAAAAUGUAGAAAGAAAGAUUUUGAUCGCACUUGAGUUGGAGAUUGGGCCUAAAUGCAUGUGUAUUUCAAAUGCGCUCCUCUUAGUUGGAUAAAACAUGAUGAUAAGUUAGUCAGGUCAUACAAAGUAUCGCAGAACCACUUGCAAUAUGGAUUGUAGGAUCGGAUCAGAUUGUAGAUUGGCAAGAUUUUAUGAAAAAAGAAAUAUAAAUUAUUUUAACAAAAUUGGUAUACAUGUUGACAAUAUUUGACGAAGGUAAGAAUGUAUGUGAUAAGAUAUAAUAAUUAAAGUGGGGUUCUUCUUAAUUACUAUACAUUGUAUGUAUGCACACACGUCACAUUCAUAAUUCGGCUGAAAAUUUUCGCAAUGUAUACCCCAACUCUUAUUUUAAUAUGAAAAUAUAGUUCCAAUACGCAACACUUACCAUAAUAAUAUUUUAUAUUUGUAUCAUCUCAUAUUUAAGUUGUUAGAGAAUAUUAAAAUGUAAACUCUCACAUUACUUGUUCUAUUUUUAGUAGAAUUCGCGAUAACUUUCACAUGAAAUAGUUUUUAUUACAUUUACAAACAUAUAUCGUCAAUUAACUGUGAGUACUUGAAAAAAUCAAUUACUUAUUUCACAUAUAUUAAGUGGUAAGUAUCAAUCAAUCAACUUAAACGCCAAUUAUGUAUUAUAACUUGUUGAACUAAUGAAAGAAGUACCUAUAGUAGCAAUAUUCAAAGAUCAAAUGUAUUUCAUCUAUAUUUUAUACAUAUUAAAUUAAAAAUUUAGAGUUGUAUUUGGGUUUUAAAGUUUUAGAAAUUAGGAAUUUAAAAGUUUUUGAUUUAGUUGAGCCACUUGUAUAAAUAAAUAAAUAAAAUAAAAUAGAUACUUUUAGUUCACUUUGAUAGGAUCAAAUGAUCCCACACUACACUGAUCCUAUGAUCCUACAAUUUUAUGCAAUCUUAUGUGAAUAUUCUAUGCGAUUCUAUGUAUAUUUGUGAUCCGACUCUGAUCCGUAUCGUUUUCCUUCCAUAGGAUCACGAUCCUAUGAGAUCCUAUAAUUCGGAUCGAAAUUUUAACAACUUGUCUCGAUGGACUUUAUUUUUCCAAAGUAUAUACUAGCAAUAAGGUAAACAAGAAAUGCAACAAGUAACAACAUAAAAAUUAGUGUCUUUAUCACCCGUAUUUUAUUUUGCAUUGUACAUGUUAUUGUGCUAUAUAUGAUAAAUUAUGUAAUAAUGAUAUCCCACAAUAUGUAGGUUAAACUAGCUUAGCACCACCUUACUUAUUUACAUAUUAAAUAGAGUUUCAGUUGAACAACUCAAGUCUCUAAUCAAACAUAAUUCAAAUGAUCAAUCAUAACCUGAAUGGGGAAAUAUCGACAUGCAGCAGUCUCUUAUCGAAAUAAUAUAGAGAGAAGGAAAAUUCAAUUAUUUAGAAGCUAAAGAUGGAUCAAUUGCCAUUUGAGAGAGGGCCAAAGCUAUCAUUUAGUUUUGCAAGUAAUUAAAUUAAUUUAGCUUUCUUCUUGGAGGUUCUAUAUAUAUAUAUAUAUAUAUAUAUAUAUAUAUAUAUAUAUAUAUAUAUAUNNNNNNNNNNNNNNNNNNNNNNNNNNNNNNNNNNNNNNNNNNNNNNNNNNNNNNNNNNNNNNNNNNNNNNNNNNNNNNNNNNNNNNNNNNNNNNNNNNNNGCUAUGGACACUGUUCAGCAAACAAGCUUUCAUCCGUUGAUAUGGACAAUGGAAGGCCUAGAUCUGGUCAAAUAAUCCCACUGCCGCUACAGCUUGUAGCGGCAGUCCCUUAUGCUUUUUAAAUGAUGGCUUAUUACUUUGCUGCCCCUACUUAAUAUUACACCCCUGCAGCAUGAGCCUGUAGCGGCAGGGUCCAAAUUCCUAACUGUUCAGUAGCCGCAUGAGGCUUGUAGCCUGCUUUUAAAACUAUUACUAUAGUUUUAUUAUAAUUAUAUAGUAAUUAUAAUAAAACUAUUAACUAUUAAUUAUAUAGUAAUUUUAUUCUAAACUUUUAUUAUAACUAUAUAGUAAUUAUUAUAAAAGUUUUAUUAUAAUUAUAAUAAAACUUUUAUUAUAAUUACUAUAUAAUUAUAAUAAAAGUUUUAUUCUUAAAAGUCAAAUUAUUCUUAAAAGUUAAAUUAUAUAUUUAAUUGUGGAAUUAAAUAUAUAUAUAAUUUAUAAUUUGACUUUUAAGAAUAAAACUUUUAUUAUAAUUAAUUGUGGAAUUAUAUAUUUAAUUGUGGAAUUAAAUAUAUAUAUAUAUAUAUAUAUAUAUAAUUUAUAAUUUGACUUUUAAGAAUAAAACUUUUAUAGUAAAACUUUUAUUAUAAUUAUAAUAAAACUUUUAUAUAGUAAUUAUAAUAAAAGUUUAGAAUAAAAUUACUAUAUAAUUAAUAGUUAAUAGUUUUAUUAUAAUUAUUAUAUAAUUAUAAUAAAACUAUAGUAAUAGUUUUAAAAGCAGGCUACAAGCCUCAUGCGGCUACUGAACAGGUAGGAAUUUAGACCCUGCCGCUACAGGCUCAUGCCGCAGGGGUGUAAUAUUAAACAGGGACAGCAAAGUAAUAAGCCAUUAUUUAAAAAGCAUAAGGGACUGCCGCUACAAGCUGUAGCGGCAGUGAAAUUAUUUGACCAGAUCUAGGCCUUCCAUUGUCCAUAUCAAUGGAUGAAAGCUUGUUUGCUGAACAGUGUCCAUAACAAACGUUUGUUACGGAUGAUUUCCCAUAUAUAUAUAUAUAUAUAUAUAUAUAUAUAUAUAUCUCCGAUAGUCGAAAUGCCACGUAACAUCUUUCUAACCUUAACACGUUAGUAGAAAUAAAAAGAGGUACAUUCCGAAUCUUUGGUCUCCUCAUAUGAUUAAGUCAUGACCAGUGACCACCAACACAACCUGCAAUGCCCAUUCCAUUCAACUUUCAGGUGUUGACGCCAUUAUGGCAUUAUUAAUAUCUCAGCAGCCAAGUUAGUUCUGCAUAUGAAUUGGGAAAUUUAUAUAUGGUGUUAUUUGAUGGUCAGAAGUUCGAGGGUAAGUAAAAAUAGUAAUUUAGAUUGAACUUUGAUUUGUGGUUAAAAUUAAUAGCUUUUCUAGAUGGACAUGAAAAUUAAAUAUGAGUGUAUUAGAACUUCACCUAUUUAUAUUUUUAUCCACAAUUAGGGUUAAAAUAUAAUUAAAUGAAAUUCAAAUACACUCAUGUCCAAUUUUCAUGUCCACAUAGAAUUUUUGUUAAAUUAAUAUUUUUCGUAUGUAGAUGACAUUAUGAAAGGAAUGAGCAAAACUCUUACUUUUAUGAGUGUUUUAGCGAGAAGAACUUGAAAAUUACUUUCUUUUGCUGGUGUUUUAGGUUCACUUCAGUAGUUAAUUUGUAAGCCUAUUACAGUUCUAUAUUUUAAUUUUAUUAUUUUGAACUAUAUACUUUAUCAUAUUUUGAUUUUUUUAAUCAUUGAGAAUUUAAUUAAUGGUUAUAUAUUUACUAAGGAAUUAAAGUUUACUAAUUAGGCCUUUUUACUAUUUAAAUAAUUGUAACUCUUUAGAGUACCAUAUCAGUUGAAGAAAGUUCGGAUUCCCCCAUGCACUUUCUUCUACUGAAUUCAAAUAACUCUUGUGGAUUCGAUGUUUACAACGAUUAUAAUAUUAGAUUAUUAUAAUACAAAAUCUAACUCUUAAGUGAUAAUUAAAAUUGACAUGGUCGUCGCUAUCUAUAAUUAAUUAUAUUACAAUAUCACUAAAUAAUAUUUCUAACAAUGUAACUAGAAUGUCCUCUAAUACAAGUAUCGAACACAAGUUUUGACAUAUUUCAUUUCUAUAAUAUUUGUAAAAAAGUUAGUAUAUAAACUGUAAUUAAUAAAAACAAUAAUAUUAGAAAAAGUUAUAUCAAAUAAAGAAUAUUAUACCUUAACAAAUAUAUAAUUAACAAUGAUGUUCAAACUCGGCUUGAUUUAAGACUUGUUCGACAUACAUAAUUCAUAUAUAAACUCCUAUAAAUCAAGCUCAUUUCUUCAUAUGAACAAACUACAAAGUAUGGACAAUCCAAAUUAGCUCGGCUUGAACUUGCUCAUUUACACUACUUAAUUCAAAGAAUUCACGUAGCUAUUAAGUCUUUCAUCAAUUGUAUUACUAAAUUAAAAUGGGCAUGACCUCUUAUCAAUAUUAAUUGUCCUUAAUUGCCAUGCAUGUGCAUGUAACUAUAUACUAUAAACACACAAUUUAAUUUAGGGCAUGUGGGUUCCUACGAUUAAUUAAUGUACUGAUUUAACGCGAAAUGAUUUAAAAUCAUAUUAUAUGUGAUUAAUAGGAGGGGAUUUUUUUAACCCGCGGCAUGCGGGUGUUACGUAGUAGAAAAGCGAUAUAUAUAUAUAUAUAUAUAUAUAUAUAUAUAUAUAUAUAUAAAAGUUGAUCAAAUGCAUGUGGUAUUCGUUUCUGUCCAUGAAUUUUGAUUCCACUAAUAGAGGAUGGUAAGUUUUGAUUGCUGACCUAAUUAAAGUCCACAUUUUGGGCCACUCUAUAUAUGUAUAUUAAACUCUUUUACGAAAGGAUCCUUCAACCAACCAACAAACCAACCAUUUGUAGCAGGUAUUAGGUUGCCGACCUAGCUCAGAAUUUAUCUACGUUAGAAAAUAUUGAGGUUUUAAUGAUCUUGGAGAAAACGGGCAAACAAAUUAUAUAGGUAAUUUUAAAUUAUGUGGGUGGCUUCGUGUUUUUUGAAUUAUAUAUAGCAACUGUCUGUCAUCCACCACGAGUCAGAUAUAACCACUGAUAUGAGGCCAAGAUCUUUGGCCAAGGGUUUAAAAUUAGAGGAAGACUCGUUGAAAGAGACGGGAAAAUUGGGAACAUGCAUGGUUAAAAUUUGAUGUACAUGCAUUGUAUUGUUGUUUCUGCUGCCCAGAUCUCAAGUGCUUGCGGUAGCUGGGGAAAAAGAGAGAAGCUUCAAUGAAGGGACCAAAAGGACAUAAUAUAAAAUUUUCUUACUACAACAUGAUGAGUAAGUUAACAAGUGAGGCUUACUUGCGGAACUAUCAAUUUGACUUGCCAAAAUAUCAAUUUCCCUAAAAUAUAGUGGUGUGACUGUCACCCUAAAAUGGAUAUAUAUAUAUAUAUAUAUAUAUAUAUAUAUAUAUAUAGUGUGCAGCGAACCAGAGAAAGUGAAUUAAGAACGAAUCGGUUAUAGAGACGAUUUUUUUCGUCACUAUAAUAUAGAAAGCCAGUUUUUUAUGUUAUAGCGACUAGAAAAACUGUCGCUAUAGCCGCACUACAACAAAAAAGCUUAUCAGCGACCGCCUAUCAGCGACCGAAUGUGGUCGCUGAUAUCUAUCUGCGACCGACUGCAGUCGCUACAAGGCGUCGCACAAAAUCUGGUCGCUAAAAAUGCACAUCAGCGACCACUAUUAGCGACCGAUUCUUCUCUGCCCAUGUGCCCACCAGCAUUCUUCGUAAUUUCUCAUGAACCCAGAAACAAGUAAAUGAUAGUUUACCAUGUCUCUGUCCAUAUAAUUUACAUUCUUACACUUCAAACAUGGACAUCGUAUCUGCGACUUACCAUUCAUACAUUCCGGGUGACUAUACGCAUACUCCAAAAACACUUGGCAACCAGCUCUAAAUUCAGCUGUAGCACCUAUCUGGGCACUUGACUUUCGUCGUGCCAUCCAACUACGGUCUGAAUAGAGGUCCAUGAUUCCACGGUACCUACUACAGACAACAUUAUAAAUGUUAACAUAUGACUUGAGCAUACUUGUAAGCAUGCAUAUGAUUAACAUUUAAGCAUACUUGUAAGCAUAUGAGUUGAGCAUACUUGUAAUCAUAUGACUUGAGUAUACUUGUAAGCAUCUGAUUAACAUUUAAGCAUACUUGAUGUUAACGAAUGAUUAACGAACGAAUGAUUAACAGUCUCUUUAUUGACCAAGUGUGUCUAGUUACCUUCUCUGUUGCACUAACAGUUCCCUAGCACUGCCUAUUUUGGCUUAACAACCCCCUAAUAGCUUACCAUGCUAACAACCAAGCUUGGAGUGAUAGUACAGUGUCGUAUAAUAUGUGGGUUAAUGAGACUAGUCCUAGCUAGGAAGUCAAAUGAACAAGGGUAGUUUAGCUGUCUUCAUCAACAAUUUAUUUCUUUUUGGAAGUCUACGGAGUGGAGUUAUAAAACUAGCAACUUUAUAUUGGCCCCAUUUGCAUUGGCACAGCCCGAGAGUUCAUAAUUGUACAUUUUAUGUCUAAACAAUCCACUAGUCAUCUUUAUUGUACCAUCACUUGGGCUUAUUUACCCAUAGUCUUCAUCCUCUUUCUUCCUUCCUUUUAUAUAUAUAUAUAUAGAAUGUUCUUGAGGUUAGUGUCAAAUUCAAACAUUUAUUAUACCAGACCAGCUGCUGGACUUUGAGAUUGUUGGUUCCUGCAUGCUGAUACCAAGCUAAGCUAAAAAAAUAAUAUAUGUUUUAACACACACUCCUAUGUUAUGGUGGUUUGUAGGUUGGAAUCUUGUUUAUGCUAUAAACUCCACCAAUUAUGGGUAAUAUAAUACCUCACAUUUGACCCUCUGUCGGGAUGAUAGUAUUUUAGUAUUAAACUUCACGCUAACAUUGGUAAUAUUACUAUUAAUCACAAACCUCGCAGAACGUGAGAAUCAACAGAAUUAGUUAUGCGUCAUCUCAAGGACUGUUUCAAGACCUAUUACUGUAUUUGGAGAGGGAGGGAAAUAUGCUAAUCCUCACAUCUCGUCUUGGAUAAAAGAGGUUAUCCAAUGAACUCUCCCAAACAUGCUAAAUUUCUAAUCGACUACAAUUAAGUAACCCAUAAAUAUAGCUCCUUAUUAGGUGAUACACAGACGUAUAAGAAAUCUUUUGCUAAAAUCAAGGUGAGUCUCAAGAAACAACACAAUUUUGAAUAACACACAAGGUUGAAUAACACAUAUUAAAACACAUGUUCAGUAUAUUCCCAAUUUCAACACAUAUUAAAACACAUAUUCAGUAUAUUAAACACAUAUUAACCCUAAAAAUAAUUUAACCUAAAAAUUUCAGUAAUCUCAUAAAACUCUUUGCAACAAUUUCAGUAUAUUCCCAAUUUCAAUAAGAAGCUAUAAAUUUCAGUAAUCCCAAAUGCAAUAAUCCCAAAUUCAUACCACAACGAACUACUAGAAUUCAUACCCAAAUUCAUAGCUCUAAAUUAACUCUUAAAACAAAAAUUCAGUAGCAAUAUAAGAUAAUUUAUUGUAUGAACUAGCUUUGCCCCAAACUAUUGUACAAGAAAUUCAGUAGCAAUAUAAGAUAGUGCUUUCAUAGUUAGGUUACCUAUGGGCGGCGACAGCAGCGAUGGCAGUGGCGGCGGCGGUGGCUGGCGUGCGUGCGUGUGUCUUCUCCUUCUUCUCCUUUUUCUUCUCUCCCUCUUCUCUCUAUUCGAUCUCCCUCUUUUUUUUCUUUCGUUUCUGUUUCUGCGAAUGACUGAAACUGGGUAAAUUAAGUUUGAUCAGCGACCGUUAUCUGCGACUGCAUGCGGUCGCUACUUUUUAAUGACAUGGAAUUAUCAGCGACCGCAUGCGGUCGCUGAUAUUAAUUGGUCGCAGAUACCCUUGGCGCCAACAUUUCGUGCCAAAUUUUACGAGGGAAAUGUGUGUUAGCGACCUCUCAGAGACCGCAUGCGGUCGCUGCAAUUAAUUAGCGACUAGAUUAAUGUGUGGUCGCAGAUAUCGGUCGCGAAUAGUAAUAUCAGCGACCGAAAAGGCGGUCGCUGAUAGUGUUGGUCGCUGUUAGGCAUUUUUCUUGUAGUGCCGGUUCGUUCUUAGUUCUCUGGAGAGAGCUGGGAUAUAUAUCGGGUUCUAUAGCUAACGUUGUAAAAAAAUAUCUAUCUUUACAACAAAUCCUGAUCAUCCAUCCGGAUAUAUAACGACUUAUAUUGCUCCCGUCUGCAGUUUAAUUUUCAGUAUUUCACAAUUUAAUAUUGCGGACGGGAUAAAUGUCCUAAAUGUCCCUUCUUAUAAAAGUCUCUCAUUCGCACUAUUAAUUUAUUUUUUAGUUUUUUAGGCUCCACAAUAUUAAACUAAAUAAUUAAUUUCACACUACGAUUUCAUUGAUUCACUCUACGAUUGUAAAUUAAUGAAAACUAAAUAAAAAAACAUGGAUUAUUGCUUGUUUGAAUCUGUAUGUUUCUUUUGGUUUAUUCCCUUGGUGGAUGAAGGUUCUCGCUCUGUCCCUCUUCCUGCUCCUCGGUUCCUUCCAUUCCAAAUAUUACCAAUUAAGUACUAACAUACUAUUCCAAACAUUUUGAUCCAAUUUUAAAUAAAUAAAAAGGUACAAAUAAUAUUACCUCAUGAUUCCCUGUAUUUGAUUGUCUGAUACCAAAAAAUAAAAAAUAAAAAUCAUAUGAAUGAUCAGAUUUAAAAUUUUAAAAAAUAAAUAAAUACACAAAAAUUCUAACAAGGGCAUCCAAAUCGGUGAACAAGAAGUAAAUAUGCAUACCUAAAUUCGCUGCAGUCUCUCUUUCGGUUACGCAAUCGUGCAUACCAAUCACAGCUGCAGGAACCAUCCUUUUACAUCCUUCACUAAAAAUUAGUAAUACAAAGAUUAGAUUCACAACCAAAAAAAUGUUCCUUUACUAUUUAUUACUAUUCAACUAUCUACUAAAUUCGUGCAAUUUAAUACUGCGGAGCUUAAAAUAUUAAAUAAAAAUUUGAAUUUGGCCAAAACAACGUCGUUUUAUAAUUGGCCAGUCAUAAUUAGGGGACGCAAUUUAAUAUUGUGAACGGCCCUUAUUUACGACGUCCCAAUUGGUCAUACUUAGCGUCCGAAAUUUAAUACUGCUAACGAAAGAAUUUUUCAAAGAGGAUUAUUUUGAUCAUCUGUUCCGUCGGCAGUAUUAAACUACGGAAUACAGGAGCAAUAUAGGUUGUUAGAUAUUCGAAUGGACGAUCAAGAUUUAUUGUAAGGAUAAACACUAUUAACUAUGGAUCAAACNNNNNNNNNNNNNNNNNNNNNNNNNNNNNNNNNNNNNNNNNNNNNNNNNNNNNNNNNNNNNNNNNNNNNNNNNNNNNNNNNNNNNNNNNNNNNNNNNNNNACCCAUAUAUAUAUAUAUAUAUUAAUAAGAUAGAACUCAUUUUGAAUUUUGACGGGAAAGGAUGGUGGAAGAGGAAGAAUGAGAGAAAAGAAAUGAAAAUGAGAUUAUUGAAACAGAAAAAGAGAAAUUUGUUACGCCGUGCUUUUAGCCAAAGCAUAUAAAUUCAAGAAUCAAGAGUGGGGAUACUUUAAUGUCCAUUUAUAGGUAAACAAUGCACAUACAUGACGUUAAAUUCCCGUCCUAGCUAGCUAACUGAAUUUCUUGAGCGUGUUGACAUGGGAAUGAAUCAUCAGACUAAGCAUGUGACCUGGAAAUAUUAAUCAUAAGAUACUACCUAUCCACGUAUUUCUGUGCCGACAUGCAUGGAAUUGAAUCGUACCAUCUGCUUAACAGUAGUUUGGUCAAGUAACUAUCAUGCAUACAUGUGACUUGUUUUUGCAAUUUAGAUUAAUUCAGAGAUAUGGGCAGGAGAGAGAAACUUGGAGGAAUGAUAACCAGUUGAUGAAAUAGAGAUUGUUUACUUCUUGAUAUUAAUGAUAUCUCGCUCACCAGGAUGAAUAAUAUAUAUUCUAUUGGCUACACAAAAAUAGUGUAAUUUACAAAUUAAGAAUAUGUAUUUUUGUUUUACGUUUGCCUCUAAAUUAAAUAAUAAGUCCAUUUAGUUUAGUAAUUGUAGCUUGACAUUAAAAUAAUGAUAACAAACUUAAAUAUAUUAUGUCAUUUUCUACUACUAUGCAUAAAGAGAUGACUCUUUUGUGAAAAAAAUAAAUAUUUUAGUAAAUGGUUGUCUUUUUACGGAACAUAAUGAACGUGAAAGGUAGUUUAAUUUGCAUGAACAUAUAUGGUCUCUCCUCUCUGAUCUGAUCUCUCAUGGCUAUUCAUAUAUAUAUAUAUAUAAAAUGGAAAACAAAAUCAAUCAUAUUAACAAAGCCUAGACUGUAUGCUAAAGGAGGGUAAGAAUUGGAUAUUUGUAUGGAUUUAGAAUUUCUCUGAUGGCAAUACGAGACGCGUGUUCUUUUCUUAAACAUAGACUUUGUUUUUUUGCUAAAUUUAAACAUAGACUUUCAAUCAGUCAAUCCUCGCACUAUACAUGUCUUAAGUCAAUAAUAAUGAAUGCCCCUAGCUCUCCUUCUCCUAGCUAUAUAUAAAGUCGUCUUUCUCCUCCAAUUAAUCUUCAUGGACUACAAUCUCUCUCUCUCUCUCUCAAGUUCAUCAUAUAUGGUACUUCUAUAUACCCGUAGGUACGUACCAAUCCCUAUAUUUUUAAUUAUUUUGCAUUACGUACGUACAUUAGUUAGUUAGUUAUGUUCACAUUUAAUGAUCGAUCUAUAUAUAUAUAUAUUUGUUAAUUAAUUAAUUAAGAUUGUUAGCAUGCAGUUUUCUUAUAUCAUUCCAUGGCUAAAUUAAUUAAUUUCAAGAAUACUGUUAUACAUACAUAUACUAGCUAGCUAGACUUGUAAAUUUUAGUUGAUUGUCUAAUUAUAUUACUCCAUGUAUAUUAAUAUUUUUCGAUUACUUAGGUUAGGAAUAAUUUAUGGUUCAGCAGAUAGAGUACCUAGCUUAUAUACAAAGAUCUACCGAUUAGUUUUUCCUUGACCAAUAAUCUUAAAAUGCAGGACAGGAUCAAUACAUUUGCGGCUAGAGGCCUCUGCAAAUUUGUGAAAGAUAAUUAAGGAAGUAACAAAUGGCGCAAUAUAAUACCUUUUUGGUGUUUCCAAACCUGCCGGUACGUACGCCAACUAUAAUUAUGAAAAUGACUCUUUGUUUAUUUACUAUAUAUAUAUAUAUAUAUAUAUUAUGUAUUAUAGCUGGGGACUUUAUUUUUUCACAAAGAAAUAUACUACUAGCAUAUUUUCUUGCAAAAUAGUCAUAUAUAUAUAUAUAUAUAUAUAUAUAUAUAUAUAUAUAUANNNNNNNNNNNNNNNNNNNNNNNNNNNNNNNNNNNNNNNNNNNNNNNNNNNNNNNNNNNNNNNNNNNNNNNNNNNNNNNNNNNNNNNNNNNNNNNNNNNNACAGAUUUUCAGAUUCCUUAUGGACCUUCAAUCUAUCUAUGGCAAAGGAUUCUUCACUAAUAUUUGAUAUUAUUGUUUAUUGUGGUGUAACUUUAUUUCUGAUAGAACAUAAGAAAGUCGAAUUAAAUUUAGAGAGAAGAUAUUGGUAUUCUAGAUAUAUAUUUUUUAAAAAUAUCUAAUUUUGUUCCUGUGUGCAUUAAAGAUAAAAAGUAUGAUCACUUGUUUAUAAAUUCCCUGAAAACCGAAUGAAAGUAACAGGUAUGAAAAUAAAAUAUAAAAGUUUGGUACUCCAAAUCUUUUUAGUCAGAGCUAAACUAAAAAUUAAAAUAACUUUAACAUAAUUCUAUUUUCUUCUAAGCUAUUUUCAAGAUGAAGUAUGAUUGCGACUCAUCUUUUGGAGAAGUUCUGAAUUCUAAUUUCUAAUGAAAUGAAAGGCAUAUAAAUUAAUUGGAUACUUCUCCCUCCAUUCUCAAAAAGGAUGACCACGUAUAUAAAUAUUUUGUCCUAAAAAAGAUGAGCAAAAUCAACAAAUUAACUGGACUACAUAAAUUUUUGUGCGGACUAAUUUAUCCUUAACUAUACUUGGUUCAAAUUAAUGAUCUCUCUCUCCAAACUCAAAACUCAAGGAUAAAUUAUAUUCUCUAUUACUUUUUUAAUUACCUUAAUUUGUAUAAAAUUUGUCAAUUUGUGGAGACGGAGCAGGUAGUAACACUUAUAAUCAAAAUCUAGGGAUUAAUUAACUUUCAUGAAAAAGAAAUGGAAGCAGGAAAAGUUGAUCCGGCAACCUGAUCAAUUCUACGAGUCUAGGUCAUAUAUGUACCAAAAAAAUACCCAUAUUUAGACAUCUUCAUGAAUGAGAUGGAGAUUUUUUUGGGUGAAUUCUCCUUUCUACAAGGUAAUAUAAAAUAUAAAAUAUAAAAUAUAAAAUAUAAAAUAUAAAAUAUAAAAUCAAAUUAGACUUAAUUAUAUAUUAGAUUAUAGAUUACAAAAAUAAUUUAUUUUUAAUUUUUAUAAUUUCUUCUAAAACAUCAAGUAAAAGGGGGGAGGGACUACAUUUAUAUAAAUAUAUAUGUUGGUUCAUGAUAUUUCCCCUCUUUGGGCCGAGUAGAUUGGGCCUACAUAUUUGAUUUGUUCAAUUGGGUCCUUAUUAUUGAGUCUUAAAGUUAUUGGGCCUAGUCAUUAUAUUAUUCCUGUUGGAUCCUUUUAAGAUCGGGUUGAUCAGUGGAUCGACCCAUUAGAUAUUUUAAUAUCUCUAUCUUUGACUUGUAAUGAUGAAAAAGUAUGACGGUUGACUAAAACACCUGCCAUGCAUUAAUGUGGAUGGGAUCAUAGCCGGCCGGCGGUAGAAACAGUGACCAAAAAUAGUAGGUAGACUACAUGCAAUCGGCAGAACCCAUUAGAUCAGGGGGCUGUGUCAGAUAGUAGUGAGUGGCACGGUAAUCUGGUCAAAGAAAGUAUAACCUAGCAAGGAGGUCUUCACAAACAGGUAUGACUUCAUUCAUAAUCACAUACACACAAUUGAGAAUUAUUAUCUCUCUCAAUACACUAGACAUUACAUCCUCCAUUGUUAACCUUGUGAACACGUAUACUGACUCUCACGCCUGAGCUGUCCCCCGACGGAACAGCCGUCAAGCUUGUGGUGUUUAUCGUGUUUACUGUGCAGGAUCAGGGCGUCUUACGUGAUUGGGACGUGGCAGAAGAUCUUGGCGUUACCAUUGGCGCUAGAAGGAGGGCGAGUUCUAGUGUCAUUGAAAUUUUCAAUCAUAAUUAUUUAACCUACUUCGGAAGAUGAUGAGGAGUAGAGAUGGUACGCCAGAAGGGCAGGCGAUGGCUGUUAGCUCGUCAAUGCCUCGUGUUUUGGUAAAAGAUCGUCUGGGUCCUUCUAAAAGUGCUCACGAGAGCACGACCUCUAAGCAUAAUUCAGGAGAUCUCCGUCCGAAGAUCCAUGGUGGGGCCAGAUGAAAGUUGGUUUUCAAUACGAAUAAGGAGCUUGAUCAUGGUCGAGGGUGGGCGGAAGGCUCACCGACCAAGACUCAUCGUCAAAGUGAUCAGGAGGACAGAGCUGCCAAGUUGGCGAGGAUGGCAGACGAAGCAGAUAAAGCCUCGGAGGUUCUGUUGAAACAGAGAGAAGAUAUAGCCGAACAGAUGCUUCGGGUGGCGAAAUUAAGGGACGAAGCAUCUAGCCAUGUUCAGUCCGAAAGGCGGAGUAGGCAUAAGGAGAUGUCACGGCGAGAGGGUAAGGAGUCGGAGCAUUCUGCACAUGUGUCUAGGGAUUGUUCUCACAGUAGGAGGAGAUCGAGGAGCAGAACUCUCGUGGCCCCGAAGAAGGCACUGAUGGUCGUUGGUUCUCAGCAUCGAGACGACGACAGACGAAGAAGCAGGUCGAGGGAGAUCGUGCCAGAAACCAGAAGAAAAAAGUAUCAUCAUGACCAUUCUCAUCAUGAGGAUAGAAGUGUACGCCGGAGUAGAUCAAGAAGCCCCACAAUGGCAACGGGACCGGCAGGAGGAGGUCGAUCCUCGCAGCCCGAAGGUGUUGAUUUUCUGGUAAAGGAGUUGAAAGAGCUUCGAAAGUAGCUAGCUGAGGUUCAACAGGUGAAGGACACUCCGGGAAAGAAGGCAUCCCCUUUUUCCUCAGAUAUUCUCAAGGAGAAGGCAGAUAUCACCAAAAAGUUGCCUCGUAUGGAGAGUUCCGAUGGGUCCGGAGAUCCUUAUGACCAUAGUCAGGCCUUCGACCGGCUGAUGGACUAUUAUGACUUCACUGAUGCUGCCAAGUGCCACACUUUUGUCACGACACUGAGAAAAGAUGCGAAACAGUGGAUGAGGACUUUACCAUCAGAUUUGAUAUCCUCUUGGACCGAGCUUUGUGAUAAGUUCCAUUCACGUUUUGGAAGCAACCGAAGAAGGGGAAAGCCUACGGGUUCUCUGGCACAGAUCCGGCAGUUCACCAGCGAAUAUUUAGGCCAGUAUGUAAAUAGGUUCAGAGAAGCGGUUGGUCAGGUGUCCGACCUUAAUGAUCUCCAGGCUGUAAGUUUGUUCCAGAACGGGCUAGAUCUGGUAAAGUCUGAGAAGUUGGUGAAGAAGUUGACGUUCCACCAUCCGAAAAGGCUGGCAGAAGCCUUUGACAAGGCAGGAGGUUAUAUUGUUGUAGAAGAGGCUAUGAACAGCCUGAAGCGUCCUUCUUCGGACCAGUUAAAGGAGAUAGAAGUUCCCAAGGCCGAAGGUGAUCAGAAGAGAACGGGGGGGUAUAAUGAUCGGCCAGAGGGCAGUUUGAAGAAGUACAAUAACUCAUGGAGGCAAGGAAGCAGUUGUCCACCUGUUUUCGCCCCGAAUGUGAAUAAGGUCUACACCAAACUGAACACAGAUAGGUCGGUGAUUUUGGAUCAGAUCAGAAACCAGCCUUUUUUCGAGCCACCUCGUGAUAAUUAUAGGACAAGACAAGGCAACUCUCGUAAUAGUGUGGCUAUCAUCAAGCCGCAGGCCACGACACUAAUGAGUGUUACAACUUAAAGGAUUUCGUGGAGAAGAAGAUUCAAGGCGGCUUGCUGGUUCAGUAUGUGGCCGAGAAAGACCAACAUGAUCAGCAGAAUAUCAACCGUACUAUUCAGACGGUUCAAAUGGCUCCAUCUAUCCAAAAUGCUCCAGUACCACCGCCAAGGCACGUCAUCGAUGUAAUAACCGGAGAAACUGUAGGAAAGUUGUCAGGGAAGAAGAGAAGGGCCUACCUGGAUUCGGUCAUGUCUAUGGCAGAUGCUCCCAUGAAGAUCGACAGACCAUUCCCAGGAACCGUCAUAUCAUUUAUGGACACAGAUUAUCCGUCGGAGCCCAUCGAGUCACAUGAAGGGGCAUUGGUGAUCACAGCACAAGUAGGCUCGGUGGAUGUGAAACGCAUGAUGAUAGACAACGGGUCCUCGGUGGAUAUUCUGUAUGCCCACGCCUCUCAGAGGAUGCAUCUUGAUGGACAAAAGAUGGAGGUCGGGCAUGAGGCUCCUUUAUACGGCUUUAGCAACGAUCCAGUCAAAGUUGCAGGCACUAUUGAACUUCCGGUUAUCUUCGGCACAGCACCUCGGCAGGUAGAAAUAACGUGUAAAUUCUAUAUUGUGCAUGUAGAUUCGGCUUACAACGCCAUACUGGGAAGGCCUACAUUGACGGCUCUCCAAGCUGUGACCUUCAUCCCUCAUUUCAAAAUCAAGUUCCCCACGGCGCAUGGAGUAGGAGAGGUGGCAGGGGACUUAGAUCUGGCCCGACGAUAUUAUUGGAAUGCUAUUAUUUCUUCCGGAGUGGGGGUCAGUAAACAGAAACAAACAAUGGCAAUUGAGAUCGAACCUUUCACUGAGAGCAGCUCAGAACCGUUGGUAAUCCCUGCAGGUGGGACAGAGGAGAUCGAGUUGAUCAUCGGAAAACCGGACAAGACAGUGAAGAUCGGUUCGGGUCUACCAGAGCCUCUUCGGACAAACCUUAUGUAACUCCUACGCUGCUAUGCGGAUAUUUUUGCAUGGGAACCACAGGAUAUGCCCGGAGUUAGCCGAAAGAUACCUGAGCAUAGACUGGAUGUAGAUCCCUCGAAGAAGCCAGUUCGGCAGAAAAGGCGGAUCUUUACGCCAGAGCGACAGAAGAUCAUCGAUGAAGAGAUUGCAAAGCUGUUAGCUGCUGACUUCAUCUAUGAAAUUGAUUACCCGGAGUGGAUGACGAAUGUGGUGUUGGUGCAGAAGCAGAAUGGAAAAUGGCGGGUUUGCAUCGACUACACCGAUCUCAAUAAAGCUUGUCCGAAGGACUUUUAUCCUCUGCCCCAUAUCGAUCAGCUCAUCGAUGCCACUUCGGGGUAUGCAUUACUAAGCUUUAUGGAUGCUUUUUCAGGUUAUCAUAAAAUAUCCAUGUGCAAAGAGGACAUUCUAAAAACAGCGUUCAUUACACACCGUUCGGUGUACGCCUACAAGAAGAUGACUUUUGGCCUUAUAAAUGCUGGAGCCACCUACCAGAGAAUGAUGAACUUCAUCUUCGACAGGCAGCUAGGAAGGAACAUGGAGGUUUAUGUAGAUGACAUGAUCGUGAAGAGAAUGCAGGUUCAGAAGCAUUUGGACGAUCUGGGGGAAUGCUUUCAAACGAUCCGGCCAAAUGCACUUUCGGCCUCGGUGCAGGAAAGUUUCUGGGAUAUCUGGUCAGUCAGAGGGGCAUCGAGGCCAACCCGGAAAAGAUCCAGGUCAUUCUUGAUAUGAAGACUCCUCAGUCGUUCAAAGACGUCCAACGUCUGACUGGAAGGAUUGCAGCUUUAAGAAGGUUCAUGUCCAAAUAUGCAGAAAGAUGCUUGCCGUUCUUCGUCACAUUGAAGGGGCCGAAGAAUGCGAAGACGUUCCAGUGGACUUCGGAGUGUGAAGACGCCAUCCAAGGCAUAAAGACAUCUGUCUUUUGCUCCUUUAUUGGUGAAGCCCGCCCCAGCAGAGACCUUAUAUUUAUACCUUGCAGCAAGUUCGUUGGCAGUUGGAGCAGUGCUGAUUCGAGAGGUCAGUGGGAAGCAGCAUCUGGUCUAUUAUGUCAGUCACGUCCUACGAGAUGCUGAAACCAGGUACCCGAAUAUUUAGAAAUUUUCCUUUGUUUUAAUAAUUGCUAGUAGAAAACUUCGGCAAUAUUUUCAAGGUUGGCUCCUGGUCGUCUACACGGAUCAACCAUUGAAGAAGGUGAUGGGCAAGCCAGAGAUUUCAGGGAGACUAGCAGCAUGGACUAUGGAGUUGUCCUAAUUUUUCAUUGAAUACCAUCCCCGAACCGCUAUCAAGGGUUAAGCCUUGGCUGAUUUUAUGGUGGAAUGUUCAUUCACCGAAGCAGAUGCCGAGUUGCCAGAGGCUGAGACGUCCGAUCGAGCAGUUGCGGUUCUUCAGCAGGGUCAGAAUGCUUGGACGCUAUAUGCAGAUGGAUCCUCUACAGUGACUAUUAGUGGGGCAUGAAUUAUCUUGACGAGUCCGGAGGGAUUCAAAGUUCAGCAGGCCAUCAGAUUCGGGUUUAAAGCGACGAACAACGAAGCCGAGUAUGAAGCAGUGUUAGCAGGUGUUCGAUUGGCAAAGAGUCUAGAAGUCCAGAAGCUGAUCAUUUACAGUGACUCUCAGUUGGUCGUCAAACAGCUGUCGGGAGAUUAUGAAGCUCGUGGGACCCGGAUGAUCCAGUAUCUUGCGGAAUUAAAAGACCGACUUCAGUAUUUCACUUCGUAUGAUUUUCAGGACAUAGAGCGGAACGACAAUUCCAUUGCCGAUGCACUAUAGAAGUUGGCCACUACGGAUGCAGAUGUUUUCAACGGAUCGGUUUAUUUGGAAGUUUUGCAGCAGCCGAGUAUUCAGCACGAAGCGGUGAUGUGUAUCGAGUGAUCUAACUGCUGGAUGACUCCCUACAUUAAGUAUUUGGCAGAUGGCGUCCUUCCUUCGGAUCAGAUGUUGGCAAAGAAGAUCAAGUUCAAGAGUGCCAAUUUUGUUCUUAUUGACGGGGAUCUUUAUCGAUUGUCAUUUUCCUCACCAUUGCUGAAGUGUCUGGUUCCAUCCGAGGCCGAGUAUGCUCUUCGGGAGGUUCACGAGGGUAUUUGCGGUGAUCAUAUGGCUGCCAAGACUUUGGCUUAUAAAGUACUUCGACAGGGAUACUAUUGGCCUACAAUUUUCAAGGAAGCUACGGAGUAUGUCAAGAGAUGUGAAAAAUGUCAGCUCAACAGUCCGAUCCCACAUCAGCCACCAGAAGAGCUAUAUUCGAUUUUAUCUCCUAUACCCUUCGCUGUCUAGGGGGUAGAUAUAUUGGGUCCGUUGCCUAAAGCUAAAGGUCAGGUCAGCUUUGUCAUAGUUGCUAUUGAUUACAUGACUAAGUGGGUAGAGGUGAAGCCACUUCGGUUAAUAACGGAACAAAAGUGUUUGAAGUUCAUAAAAGAGUCCGUAGUGUUUCGCUUCGGGAUUCCUAGAGUGUUGAUAUCGGACAACGGACGCCAGUUCGUGGGAUCAAAAUUUGAAGGAUUUUUAAAGGAGCUGGGGAUUCAGCAUAAGAAGACUUCGGUGGCUCACCUACAGUCAAAUGGGCAAGUUGAGGUGAUCAACAGGACGCUGCUGAACGGGAUCAAGCGCAGACUGGAUGAAACUAAAGGAAGAUGGCCAAAAGAGCUGCUCAGCGUGCUGUGGGCUUACCGGACUACACCGAGGACCACCACAGGGGAUUCACCCUUUCGAAUGGCCUAUGGUACUGAUGCCUUAGUCCCAGUCAAAAUUGGAUGUCCAAGUCUUCGGGUAAGUCAAUUCAAAGAGAUCUACAAUGACGAAAGACUGAAGACCAAUUUGGAUUUGCUAGAAGAAGUCAGAGAGGUGGCUUUACUCAAAUUGGCUGCUUAUCAACGAAGAGUAGCUAAGCAUUACAACAAAGGGGUCAAACUUCGCAGAUUCGAAGUAGGAGACUUCGUCCUCAGAGAAUCCGAAGCAUCUACACCUCAAAACACGGGAAAGUUAAUGCCAAACUGGGAAGGGCCGUAUGAGGUGAUCAAAGUAUCAAAGCCAGACACUUAUCGGUUAAAGGCAUUAGAUGGUUCCGAGAUCAAGAACACUUGGCAUGCUGGCAGGCUUCGAAAAUAUUUUCAAUAGAGAUCAAGUCAAUUUACCGGAAGUCUGUACAUGAUUGUCCAUUAUCAAUAAAAAGUCACUUUUUCACUACUGAUCCUGUUCCUAUUUGUCCUAAGUUCACAAUGGUGUAAGGAGGUAUGGUAGGACUCGCUGGCCAUUCGAUGGCAGCGCACUUAUUUGUUACCCCGUGCGGUAGAUAAAUCCUAUGUUCCUAUAUUGAUUUUACCAAAGGUGGUAAGUCAAUGGUCACUACUGAUCUUGUUCCUAUUUGUCCUAAGUUCACAAUGGUGUAAGGAGGUAUGGUAGGACUCGCUGGCCAUUCGAUGGCAGCCCACUUAUUUGUUACCCCGUGUGGUAGACAAAUCCUAUGUUCCUAUAUUGAUUUUACCAAGGGUGGUAAGUCAAUGGUCACUACUGAUCCUAUUCCUAUUUGUCCUAAGUUCACAAUGGUGUAAGGAGGUAUGGUAGGGCUCGCUGGCCAUUCGAUGGCAGCCCACUUAUUUGUUACCCCGUGUGGUAGACAAAUCCUAUGUUCCUAUAUUGAUUUUACCAAGGGUGGUAAGUCAAUGGUCACUAUUGAUUCUGUUCCUAUUUGUCCUCAGUUCACAAUGGUGUAAGGAGGUAUGGUAGGACUUGCUGGCCAUUCGAUGGCAGCCUUAUUGACAGGAGUGUCCUUAUGAAUUUGUGACCCUGUAUGGUAGACAAAUUCCAUGGUCCUUAUAUCUUGAUCCUUAUAUCUUGAUCCUUAUAUCCUGGUCCUUAUAUACUUGUUCUACCCCGAGUGGUAAGCAAGAUUUUGAUGGUGCAAAGAGGAUCAGCCGAAUUCACCUCACACAUGACCGAUCUCACACUUCAGUACCGAUGAGUAUAUAUUACUUUAUUUUAUUUAAAUGUUGAGUUCAGUUCAUUUAAUUCAGUUCAGUUAAAUUCUGUCCAUAAAAUUCAAUUCACUCCAUUUCAUAAAUUAACUGUUAUAUGCCUUAGAUGAUUCAUUAUUUGAGUUCAGUUCAUUUAAUUCAGUUCAGUUAAAUUCUGUCCAUAAAAUUCAAUUCACUCCAUUUCAUAAAUUAACUGUUAUAUGCCUUAGAUGAUUCAUUAUUUGAGUUCAGUUCAUUGAUACUGAAUAAUUGACAAGAAACUAACCAAAACAGAAGUCAUAAUCAAGAAAGUUGAAGAUUCAUCAAUAAAAUAAAACAUUCAUUCAUUCGAUUCAUCCAUAACAUUAACUAAUUACACAAAUAUAGAAACAUUGUUAAAAUCCAUAUAAAAAGUUUCAAACAAUCCCAAAGACAUAAACAGUUAAUUUUUACAUAGUCAGAAUAAAGCAGGAAGGACAUUCAGACACCACCUUCGCCCUCGGAGUUAAGAAGAUCCGGAUCCAGCUGAGCAGCAGAUAACUUUUCUUUACCUCGCUCUCGGCAGUCUUCAUACCCCUCUGAAUAGACCUUCAUGAUUUCGGCAUUAAGCUCAUCCGAAUCCCUAUAGUCCGUUUGAAUCUGCUUUCGCAGCUCUUCGGUCAGAAGAGGGCCCCGUCCCUCAAGCUCUUUUAUUUUAUGACGAAGUUUGUGACGCUUGACCUUAUGUCUUCGCUCCUCGUCCUGGGCCUUCGCCUGAGCCUCGCCAAGUUGAAUCGCCAAGUUUCGGUUGGCUGAAGAAAACUCCUCAUUUUUGGCCUUCAGGAGUAGAUUUUCUUCGACCAGGUCGGCGUUCAUAUCAGUUAAAACUUGUUGACUGGCUUCGGAUGCAGCCAGCCCAUCCCUUGUGGCCCUUAGCUCAUCGUCAGACGUCUUCAAGUCCAUCCUAGCUCGAUCUAAGUCUCUUUGAAGGCCGUCGAUGGUAUGAAGAGCGUCUUCGCGAUCAGCCCUUUUUUGAGCCAUGGUCGAUUUCAGCAUGUUGAUCUCCUGUCUCAUGAAAUCUUCCUCGGCCUCCCCAUUUAUGUGCCUCGGACGCAAACAUCCGAAGACAGCAUUGGCCUGCAUAUGUUCAACAGUGUUCAAAUCAGUGUUCAGAUAUCUAAACAAGAACAGAGAAAUAGAAAAUAAAGAAACUGUUAUUUACCUUAGCCAGAUAGCUCAUCCCCUCGUCAAGCAGAUUUCCAUCCGUAUGGUCGCUGAACCGGUGGUCAUCAGCGUUCCGGACGAAAGCUCCGAAAAGAUCGAAUGGGAAAUUUGCAUUGAAUCUAGGCCACAGAGUCGGGGAUCCCAUAGCCUCAGCAUGAUAACCCUGACCUGAAGGACCGGGUCGUUCGGGGGAGGGUCUCGGUCUUUCCGGAGAAGGGGCUGGCUGCUCGGGAGGGGUGGGGUCCGCAUAUACAGUUUCGGAAGAAGGAGAUUUAUUUGGAAUGGGUUCUCGGGGAGAUGGGGCUGAGGCAGAACUUGGAUGGCUGUCAGGCGUACGCUUCCUCUUCCUGGACAGCGUUGGAACAGUUUCGUCCUGCUCACCUUCUUCGGCAAUUUGUAUUUCUAUAGGCGGCACGAAGGGUGGGAUGAUCGAGGACUGGGGCACCCUGAGUUCUUCGGCGGUCAGGGGGGUUAUUUUGGUUUUUAAUUUCUUGGUUCGGAGGAUAUCUCUUCGAUCAGGACGAUCGAGCAAGCCUCCUCGUCGGGGGAUUGAUUUGGUGAUCGGCUCAGUUUCUGGGAUGGUUUCAGAAGGGCUGGAAAGAGGUGUUGAUCUGGGUUUUCUAAUGGCCCUCCUCUUCUAACGAGGAUGAAGGGUCUCUUCCGGUACAGGAACCUCAUUAGCUUCUGGCUCUUCUGUUCGGAAUUCAUCUGUGUGUAUUUUCGGGGUUGGCUCACCUUCGGGGAUAGCUACUAUUGGCAGACUCUCAACAGUUUCCGAAGACUUCCCAGACAAAAAAUCUUCAAACUCCUUUAUUUCUAAGGAGCUCGGUCUGAUCAAAGAUACUGCACGAAACAAACAGUCCUAUGUUAGAUUCCACAUCAUAAAAACAUUUUCAAAAAUUUAUAUAUAAAAUAGACCGAUACUUACAUUUAUGGUCAUAUAACCAUGCCUGCUUCGAGAGAAGUCCAUACUUCCACUCCUUCUUAGGAAAAUUAUCAAAAAUCUCCAUCAUCUCAACUUCCCGUUCUUCAGAAAUAUCUCCGAAGUCAGCAGAGAUCUUCUCGUCAGUGGCCCAGUUCGGUAAAGAAGAGAUUUCAGGACCUUUGACGAAGAACCACUUCUCGUGCCAUCCCCUAUUGCUCGAAGGAGUGUUCACCAACAAACGUCUCUCGAACUUUUCUCCCGACUUCGGAGAGUGUUUGCUGAGGGCCUUGAACCCCUUCUCUCUGGAUUGGACGAUCUUGUACACGGUGAAGAAGAAGUCGAGGGAAGGCUCAACGCCCAACUCAUGGCAGAAAGCAACAAAGGCCAGGAUGUGAAUAUAAGAAUUUGGUACCAAUUGGGCGAACCCCACGCCCAGGAACCCCAGUAUAGUCACUAUGAAGACGUGCAGAGGAAAACGGACCCCCUUCUCAAGCAGGGUCACAGGGACGGCUGUCCAACUCUCUGGCCGUUGGUACAUUUUCUCACCGGAUCUGGGAACCCUAACCGCGUGAGUAUCCGGAAUGUGGUACCGAGAUCGAAUCCUCUUUAAUUCAGCCUCAGUGACAAUAGAGGGAGUGUUGGCAUGCGAGAAACGAUCCGUAUUCCUGUAGUAUUCAGAAGGAAUUUUGGAGAUUUUUGGAGGAGGAUUCUUGUCGGUUUUCGUUCCUUUGGGGUUCGAGGUCGAGGUUCCUUCGCGGGUGUUAGGGUUUGGUGAAACGGCGUUGAUCGGUGUUACUAGGAGGGGUGAACUUUGUUCAGAAUCUUGGGAAGCCAUUUUUGACAGUUCGCAGAGGAGGACAGAUAGUUCAGAGAAGAAGAAAACUCAAAAGGCGCUCGAAUUUCAAAUGGGCAGGUAAAACUGUCAAAUUUGGUAAAGUUAUCUUUUAUACUGACGGUUACACGGUGUACAAGGCCGGCACAUUAAAUGAUAGUAAUGAUUUAGAAUUUGAAUGGGAAGCGUCCGGUUCCGGGUCCAGAUAUUUAUCAGGCAGAGCCUUUCUGAUUUGGGCCUCCGUUCUCCUCUCUUUUCAUCUCAUGAACAGUAACCGGGUACAUUUCGAUUACUUCUCACUAUGGACCUUUAGUAAAAUAUCAUGGACCAUUUAUAGUUUUCUAUUAAACAUUCCGUUCAACAAAAAACUAGGGGGCAAUGUUGGGUCAUGAUAUUUCCCCUCUUUGGGCCGAGUAGAUUGGGCCUACGUAUUUGAUUUGUUCAAUUGGGUCCUUAUUAUUGAGUCUUAAAGUUAUUGGGCCUAGUCAUUAUAUUAUUCCUGUUGGAUCCUUUUAAGAUCGGGUUGAUCAGUGGAUCGACCCAUUAGAUAUUUUAAUAUCUCUAUCUUUGACUUGUAAUGAUGAAAAAGUAUGACGGUUGACUAAAACACCUGCCAUGCAUUAAUGUGGAUGGGAUCAUAGCCGGCCGGCGGUAGAAACAGUGACCAAAAGUAGUAGGUAGACUACAUGCAGUCGGCAGAACCCAUCAGAUCAGGGGGCUGUGUCAGAUAGUAGUGGAUGGCACGAUAAUCUGGGCAAAGAAAGUAUAACCUAGCAAGGAGGUCUUCACAAACAGGUAUGACUUCAUUCAUAAUCACAUACACACAAUUGAGAAUUAUUUCUCUCAAUACACUAGACAUUACAUCCUCCAUUGUUAACCUUGUGAACACGUAUAUUGACUCUGACGCCUGAGCUAUCCCCCGACGGAACAACCGUCAAACUUGUGGUGUUUAUCCUGUUUAUUGUACAGGAUCAAAACGUCUUACGUGAUUGAAACGUGACAGAAGAUCUUGGCGUUAACAAUAUACAUGCAAUUGCUUUGUCUCCAAAAGUCGUCCAUAGAAAAAGACCAUAAAGUUUUCAUCGACAACGAAAGAACAAUAAACAUUACAAACAAAAGUUCCUUAAUUGAUUACCAUUCUCCUUAGCUUGUCAUUAUAACCACCUCAAAAACACGCUAAUCAACCUAGAAACAAAGCUUUUUCGUUCCUUUCCUAGCCUUAUUUUAUCCGGCCUAGUUAUUCAUGUUUUUAAUAUAUAUAUAUAUAUAUAUAUAUAUAUAUAUAUAUAUAUAUAUAUAUAUUGGGUUCCAUCUACAACAACCGAUUAUUGUAGAAUAAUCCCUUUUUUAGCAAGUUGUUGUAGCGGCCGGAGCAAAAAAAAUAAAUUAUAACAAACUAAUUAAAAAAGGGUUGCUCUACAGUAACCGGUUGCUGUGGAUGGAACCCCUAUAUAUUCACAUUAAUGUUUUAAUCCAACUUUAGUAAUUGUGCAUGAUUCUAGCAUGUACAAAGUUUUGAUCUUAGGGUACCUAGCUAGGUAAUAAUUUGCAGUUUAAUCCCGUUCAUCUUCGAAAAAGAGAAGAAUAUAUAGUACUUGCUUAACCUUUUAUACAUUUAUAAUUAAUCUCCUUUCUUUAUCUCUCAUUCAGAGUCUAAGCAUGGAUUCAUCAUCAUCAGCUGAGCCACCAUUUGAAGAGACAUACAAUGCUCUCUUGGAGGGCAACUCCAUUGAUGAUCAUGCAGUGGCAGAUACAGAUCUUGUGGAAGAGUGUGAGCUUCCAUUGAUUGAUCUUAGCAUGUUAAGCCUUGGAGAAUUGGAGAGAGAAGACUGCCAAAGAGAGAUAGCUAAGGCUUCACAGGAGUGGGGUUUCUUUCAAGUUGUCAACCAUGGAAUUUCUCCCGAGAUUUUGGAGAAAAUGAGAUAUGAACAAGUCAAUGUUUUCAAGAAGCCAUUUCAUGAGAAAGAAUUGUGUUUUCCGGCCGGAACUUACAGUUGGGGAACUCCUUCGGCUACUUGUCUCCGGCAGCUGUCUUGGUCGGAGGCUUUUCACGUGCCAUUGAUUGAUAUUCCAAACUUGGGUACUGGUCUCACUAGCCUCAGGUAAUUAUUUUCAAGCGAUUAUUAAUUUAAGAUAAGAACAAGAAAGUAAGGCAUAGGUAAGACCGUAAGAUUAGGCUAGAAUACAAAUGUAAAGGCCAAAAGGUUACAAAACUUAGAACACAAAUAUAUAGGAGAGUGAUAAAAAUGAAUGGCAUCCAAUUAUGAUUCAGCCCAUUCCAAGCUCUAAAGAUUGAUUUUGAUACCGUCCACACAAUAUUAGGAACAAUUGUGAAGAUUAGAUUUUAAUGGUAACUCACUAUCCACAUAACUUCUUUAGAUUUUUGAAGACUACUAGAUCUCAAUUGAAUCCUACAAGUGGCCAGUUUCAUUCAAAUGACUUCGGACUCAAUUGAGAUUUUUACUUAAAGAGUCAAAUUGAAAUUAAGUGACAACUUGACCAAACACUUUUACAUUUCGAUUAAAGAAAUAUUAAUUUAUACUUUACCCUAACUAAUUAAUUAUACCUACUUUUUAACAAUUUAUUUGUAUUUCUGCUUUGUAUUGAUCAUCGUGUAAUUAAGAUGAAUCCAUACUGCGAAAUAUAUGUAGUGCUCAAUCCCAUUACUUACACUAUAUUAUUAAGUUUUUAAAAGGUUGAAAAAGAAAAUAAAUUGAUGAAAAUUUUACGUCUAUAAAAGUUAUCCCUUUUAGUCGAGAUGAGUGUGCAUGGAGUAGACAUGCUUUAUCAUAAUUAGCACUCGAUAACAUAUACAUUUGCGUCUGUAAAUUAUAUGAGAUAAAAUAAUAAUUUUAUAAAAUUUGAAUUAUUAAAUAAAAAGAUAAAAAAAUUAAUAUAAAAAGAUAAAAAAAAUAAUAUAAUUAAAAUCGUAGGGCAAAUUAAGGAAGAAAAAUAUAUACUAUAAGACCAUUACACCUCUAACGUCAGCGGCUCAACAGAUCAGCUUUAUAUAUAAUAAGAGAUAACAACGUGUAUGUGUUUGGUACUUCACUAGUAUGAAACUUAAAACUAUGCAUAUAAAAGAUCUUUUUUAUAAAAAAAAAGUAAAAUAAAAUAAAAUCUCAAAAAACAGCUUGUAGAAUGGAUACUAUUUAGGACAUGUUCGGGAAUGACUUAUUUUAAAAUAAAUUAUAAAUAUAAAUUAUUUUAUAAGUUGUGAUUUAUAAAUAAAAAUGUUUGACAUAAGUUUAAGUUAAAAUAAGUUAUAAAUGUAUUCGGCUCACGAUGACUUAUAAGUUAAAAUAAAUGUAAAGAUUACUAAAAAUAACAUUAAUAAAAAGAGUGACAAAAUAAAUAUUACAUUUGGAAAAACUAACUUAUUUUAAAAUGAUUUAUAAGUCAUUUUUAAAUAAGUCACAAUUAAUUACUUAUUUUUUUUUGACUAAAAACUAACUUAAAAAUCAAAAUAUAAGUAAUUGUCAAACACCUUAAUAAUAAAAAAUAACUUAUAAACUAAUUUAACGAACAUAUAAUUUGUUCCUUAGUGUCGUGUGUUAUUUCACCUUUCCUUCCAAAUAUGAAAGUUUUGACACUGAAAGUAAGACAUUUUCCAAACACGAGCUGUGUAGUUUGGUGAUUUGAUGUUUUAAUUAGGCAUUUUGAGAAAUGACCAUGCCGUGAUGACGUAGAGGUGGCAAACAGGCGGGUGAGCGCGGGCCGGGCCAUGGCCAAAAAGACUCGGAUUUUUACGGGUUAAGAAAAGUAAGUUUAUAGUUUGCGGGCUCACGGGCGGGUCGGGUCGGUUCGCGGGCCGAAAGUGAUUUAUAUCUAUUUUUUGGUACUUUUUUGAGCCCGCAAAGCCCACGGACGGGCCGAGCCGGAUUUUGAACUGAUCGGGCCAAAAAGGCCCGAGUUUUUGUGAGCCAAAAAAAUGAGGCUCAAAGCCUUUUUUUGGCGGACGAACCGGACCGACCUGCGAGCUUUAGACCCGUUUAUCAGGUCUACAUGAUGGUUUGAGGGAUGUCAAAUCAAAAACUAUAAUGAAAUUUAAAGCAUUAGAGAUAGAGCCUAUUUAUUAUUCAAAAUAAAAUUCAAACCCAUGUAGCAUAAUGAAUUAGAGGCUCAGACGUGGUUCACGUGUUUGACCUCAUUACAACAUAUUUACUACAUGAAGGAAACACAGUGGACCACUGUCAACAAAUAGCAUACUAUAUCCACGUACGUACUAGCCUAAAGUACAAGUCAUGUCCUUCAAAAGUUAUUCUUCUUCUGUCCCACAACCCUGCCCCCUAGCAAUUUUCUUGAAAGAAGAAAAAGAAGAAGGAGAAGAAGAUAUUAUAUAUUAAUUAGCUACUACAAACUCCGUCCAUACACUUGCUAAGUUUUAUACUUAGCAUCGUGGACAGUCCAUUAGCCAUGGAAAUUAAAUUACUAUAAUGAAUUUUUUUAAUUAAAUGCAUGCUCAAAUUAAUUAAUUCAGCUCAACAAUGGAGCGAUUUGCCGCAACCGUUUCUGAUCUAGCACAAAAGUUGGCAGAAAUAUUGGCGGAGAAGAUGGGUCAUAGGUCGAGUUUCUUUAAAGAAAAUUGUGUCCCGAGCACUUGUUAUCUUCGAAUGAACAGAUAUCCACCAUGUCCUCCUAAGGUGUCCGGGCUGAUGCCACACACCGAUAGUGACUUCCUCACAAUAUUGCAUCAAGAUCAAAUUGGAGGAUUACAAUUAGUAAAAGAUGGGAAAUGGGUCGCGGUUAAGCCUAAUCAAGAAGUUCUAAUUAUCAAUAUUGGAGACCUAUUUCAGGUACGUAAUUAUGUACCUAGCUACAAUUUGAGUGAGUGCUAAAAUGGAUGCAUGGUAUAUACCGUAUUGUAUUUGAUAUUAUAUUUAUGGGAUAUUUAUUUAUUUAUUAUAAUCGAGACACACACUAUCCUUUUAAUUGUCAAAAUAUAUAUAAAUCUUGAGAGAGAUUUGGGAAGUUUGAUGCAUGCAUAUGCAUUUGUUGGUUUAAUAUAAUAUAAUUUAAGAUGAUGCAUGCAUGCAUGCAGGCAUGGAGCAAUGGUGUUUAUAAGAGUGUUGAACAUCGGGUUGUUACCAAUAAGCUAGUAGUAGAGAGGUUUUCUACUGCUUAUUUCUUCUGUCCAUUUUAUGAAACUCAGAUACAAAGUUGCGUGGAGCCCUCCGUGUACAGAAAGUUCAGUUUUAGAGAAUUCAGACAACAAGUCCAGCAAGAUGUUAAAAAAAUGGGUUACAAAAUUGGACUUCCUCGUUUUAUUAUAUGAAGCAACUGGAAUAUUUCAUAUUUGCCCAAAGUUAUCAGAUAUUAAUGUAUGUAGAAAAAGAAACAAAAAUGUAUAAAUAUAAUUUUGUUAGUUAACUUUGAGUCGUUUAUGGAUAAAGUAUAUGCACUUGAUCACGUCCUGAUUAAAAACAAGUGAGUUUUCCUGAUUAAAAACAAGUGAGUUUAGCUUUAAUGAUUGUAGUACUUUUUUAAAAUGUCAUUUUUGUCUUGAAAGUAUCAUAUAUAGCUUUAAUGAUUGUAUACUUUUUUUAAAUGUCAUUUUUGUCUCCAAAGUAUCAUAUAUAAAUAUUUGAUUGAAUUCUAGUUUAAUUUAAUUUCUAAUUCACUAUCUAAAAAAAAUCACACCAAAAUAUUGUGAACUUUGUUUCUCUUCGUUGCAAGCUAUUUAAUUUAUAUAUCUACUAGAAAAACAAGAAUACGUGACGGAAUUUUGUGGCAGUUUUUAAAAACUAUCACAAAAGAUAGUAAUUUGUGAUGGACUUUUUAAGCAAUCACAAAAUAAUAGUAUAUAUGAUGGCUCUUAGUGAUGACUAAUUUUGCCAUCAAUGUAUUAUAAUUGUGAUGGCCAUGUCAAUCACACCAAUUUUUUCACGCAAAAUAAAUUUUCUUUUUGUGACGCACUAAGUCAUCACUUAUAAAUAUACCCUUUUCGUGAUUGCGUUUAAGCUAUCACUAAUAUUUUAAUAUAAGAAAUAAUCAAAACAAUAUUUUAUGACGGUCGUGACAAUCAUUAAAAAGUUAGAUUUUUGUGACGACUUUUAUUUACAAUUACAAAAAGAAGGUAUUUUGUGAUGGAAUUUUCAAGCCGUCACAAAACAAUACAAUAUAUGAUGGCUCUUAGUGAUGACUAAUUUUACCAUUAUUAUAGAGUAUUUGUGACUGCCAUUGCAAUCACCAAAUCUUAUUUGAAAGUAAUUUUGUUUAGUAAGUCAACUCACAUAAGUUUUCUUUUAUAUUUUGUUAUAAAAUUAUAAUCAUGAUCUGGACUUUGGUGUAGUGGUAAUACUCGUUAUUUAGUUUGCAAAUGGGAGAGGGUUCGAAUCCUAUAAGUAUCAUUUGAUACAAUUAAUAUAGUGAAAUAAAUUAUACGUAAAUAGAGAUUCACGUUCUUACAUUUGAUCCCUAAAGUCUUGUUUUUUUUGUGAUGACUUUGACAAUCACAAUAGAUUAUAUGUUAAUGUGAUUGUAUUAAUCAUCACAAAAGCACUAAGCGUUUACGUGAUUGCCAAAACCAUUACGUAAAAUCUUUCAUGAUGGGCGUAUACAAGACGGCCAUUGUGAUGCUUAAAGUCAUCACGUAAACCUUUUGUGAUGAUUUUUCUAUUUUUUGUGAUGGAUUUAGGCCAUCACAAAUGACCAUUUUUUAGUAGUAUAUACUCCUUUCAUUCAAAUAUAUAAGAUCAUUAUUGAUUUUUUUAAAGUCACAAUUAUAAAAUAUUUUCAAAUUUAAAAUUGACAUGACUUAAUUUAAUUUUAGCAAUACAACGAUGAAAAGUUUAAACUAUCUAACAUCCAAGUACUAACUCAUUAUAAGAUUUAUUUUUUCAUAAAUUUAAUUCAAUCAUAUUAUAUACAUACAUAUAUAUAUAUAUAUAUUGAGAUGCAAAUAAUAAAUUUAAUAAUUUGUCAAGUAUUUAUGUCAAAAAAACACUUGAAGUACUCAAUCCAUGCAAUUACUUGUAUAUGUGACAAUUUAGAGGGACAAAAGUGUCCUUCAGCCAGUUUAAAAAAAAAGUAAAUUAGUUAAUUUAUCGUAGAAUAAAUUUAAGAGAUUGAUUAAUUUUAUCAACAACAUUCAGAAAAAAAUACAAUUUGAAAUAACAAUCAACACUAGCUAUAAAACUAAUUCGUAGUGCAUAAAACUUUAAAGUGUUGUGCUUUUUUAUUUUUUACGAAUUCUCCAACUUACCUAUGUACAAAUGAGAUGGCUACGAUAUAUAAUCACAUCUAUACGGCUACAUUCUCAAGGAUAACUCCAAUUUAAAGUUACCUCAACUUGCAUUUCUAAUUCCUUAUAAAAUAAAUACGACCCAAGAAAAAUAAAAGAUGCAAAUAUUGUCAUAGUAUGGCAAUCAUUAAAAUUUUAUCAUCCAUUAAACUAAAUAAAAUCAAGGCUAGGGCGACAAAAAAAACUACAAAUUAAUAAUUACCUACAUGUCCAAGAAAAAAAGAAAGGACAAUCAUCUUGUUAUGCACAUGUACAUCAUCAUCAAUUUCAUACUAUAUGUUAAUUUAUCCAUCUGCUAGCCAUUUGUACUCAUUUUUAAGAAUUACUAAUAAUGCUCAAAAUUGCAAUCAUGGAAAAAAAACUGUAUCAUAUACAAAAUGCAUUCUCUUUCAAGAAUAAAAGAUUACAAAGAUCCAUUUGUUUUUCAUCUUGAUUAUUUUCUAUGAAAAUACAAUCAAAGAUUAAUUUGUUAUAUUAGUUUACAUUCUAGGCAUUAUGGAAUACUUUAUGUUUCUUUUUGACAUUUCAUCAAACAUGUAAUGUGCACAUCAUAGAAUCUCACAACAUAUAUUCAAUUUGCAGCAAGCAUCUACAAAACAAUAUAUAAGCGUACAUAAUAACAUAUAUACAAUUAUAAAUGUCAGAAACGUCAGAAGACCAAACCUUGUUACCAUUGUAGAAUUCACCCCCAUAUAGUAUCAAUUUUGUCUCUUUCAAAGGAUUAAUAGUUAACUACAGAAAUCAUCAAAUUAAUUUUUAAUUCACUAAAUCCAAAUUAAUUAGAACUACUCAUACCGAGCAAUUGGAUCGAGGAGAAGGCUCUCUUUUCAUUUCCUUAUCAACAAAAACUCAUUGCAAGUAAUAUGAAAAUUAGAUAUACAAAUCAAAUCAGAUGAAGAAAUCAAAAUAUAUGGAGAGAGAAGAAAAAUAGCUCACCUCUUUUUUGUUGCUACAAUACCCCCAAAUGUCAUAUUUAUUUAUACUUACACAUUCAAAAAAUCCUAGAUCGCGCAUAUUCACACUGUGAAAACCAAAUCAAGCAAUCUUGUUUGACCUGCAUGAUUAGAUGGUUCCAUAAGUUGCAUUAAUUUCGUGUUCCCUUUGUUGCACAAUUUAAACAUUCAGUUGAAUUUGUAAAGUACAUCGAAUCAUUAAGCCAUAUCAAGGUAUUACGGAGAUGUAUAGCUACGACAACUGUGAGACCCCAGAUUUUUUGACUAAAGAUUAAAUUUUCUCGAAAUAUAUUUUUGAAUAUUAUGGUGUGGAUUUGAUAUAAUGUUAUAGUUGUGAGUAAUAUUUACAAAUUUUGCAAAGUACGCAAGUUGUUAUAUAAUAUUCGAUUGGUCAGAGAAUAUUUAUUUUAACAGGGAAUAUUCGUACAACGGCACAAUCAUUGGUGGACCCCCACAACAGAAUUAUUGUCGGAUUGAGAAAACGACAAAAAUACUUUAUGAAAAUAACGGCGGAAGUUUUGCCGUUAACUGUUGAAUCACCCGGUGUUAAAAGUACAGUAAUAUGCGUGGUUGCAUAGUAGCACACGGUAUUGAUUAUUGAUGCUUACAUGAGAAGUCACUCAGUUAUACUCAAUUAUUGCUACAGUAAUUGUUGCAUCAUAUCUAUCAUAUUAUUGAUUCAAUUAUUGUCACAAUAUCAUCUGCAUAAAAUGUUUUUAUUAAAUCAAUACUUAAGACGACAAAGUUAUUCAUAUUAUAAAUUGCAAUAUUUACAAUGUCUAGAAGUUCUGUCAAGGAGAGGUUUGGUCACCUAAUUGCGCGCCAAUAGGGAGAAAUCCUUAUUGGAAAGCCCCCACUUUCCUAGGAACGAACUGGUUGAUAAAUAUUAUGAGUUAUAAUAUUAAUAAUGAAUGUUGUUCAGAGUUGAAUUUGGAGACGCGGACGUGAUAUUUGAGUCCAGAACGACGAAAUUGGUAAAAAUAGCCUAUAAACACAAAAUUUUCCGGGAUUCACUAUUUGGUCAAAAAGUCAACAGUUGACUUUUUCGAGAAAAGUCAAACUUUGAAAUUUUAAAAUUUAUAUUUUUAAUAAAAAUAGUUUCAUUAUGUUGGAAUUAUUUGUGUUAGUGAAAAUCGACAUUUAUUUCGAUAAAAAUUGAUGUCUGGAGGUUAUUUUGACCAAUCGGGUAUUUAACCGGAUAAAUGAGCAAUUGAUUGCUAUUAUUUCACAUGAUUAUAACUAUUUAUUCACAUGUGUAUACUAUUGUUUCACAUUCUUGUUACUAUUAGGGGAGUUAGUGCAAGAUUGAUAAUACUUACAUGACUAAGUUAAAAAUAGAUGUAUAGAUGGAGGUACUAUACUGUAAUUCGUAUUUUUACAUGUUUAGAACUAUUGAUUCACAUGAUUUACUAUUGAUUCACAUUAUUUACUAUUAGGGGAGGUGGUGUAAGUUUGAUAAUACAUGCAGAACUAAAUUAAAAAUGAAAGAAAAGUUGGAGGUAUUGUUCUGUAAUUUUUCGAGCCCCAAAAUGUGCAAUUAUCGAAACUAUAUUUUUCUAUAAAUAGAAGCUCAUUCUUCCUUCAUUUCUCACCAAUUCACUAAAGCUAUAGAGCACUUAUUAUAGAGAGAAAUUAUAGAGAGAAGCUAUAGAGAGAAAAUCUAUAGAAGAAGAGAAGCCUGCUACUUCACUACUCCUAUAUCCAGUUUCUUUUACGGUAAGGGGUGUUAUUUCUUUUGUAUUCAAGAAAAAAACUUCUGUUAUUCCAUUCUUUAUUAUUCUAUUGGAAUAACCUGUAUACGCGGGCUACCCUAUAUUUGGUGACAUUCUUCUAUUAUUCCGUCUUUAUUAUUCUGUUGGAAUAUCCUGUCUGUGAGUUUUACGCCGGACCUGAUUCCGUCUUUAUUAUUCUGUUGAAAUAUCCUAUCUGUGCGUUUACGCCGGACCUGGUUCCAUCUUUAUUAUUGUUAUGUUGGAAUAUCUUGUCUGUUCGUUUACGCCGGACCUGGUUCCGUCUUUAUUAUUCUGUUGGAACAUCCUGUCGGUGCGAAUUUCGCCUGACCUAGUUCCGUUACUUAUUAUUCUGUUGGAAUAACCUGUCUAUGUGAAGUACCGCAUGCAUGGUGAUUUCUUUUGUUAUUCCAUUCGUUAUUAUACUCAGUUGGUUAAAGUUUUGACUUCUAUACUCCAUGAAAUUAGUGGAAUAUCCUUGAUAUUUGCGCUUCAUCCAGUAUCUUUUCAUGGAAAUAUUCUUCUGAGCAUUCUUGAAUUNNNNNNNNNNNNNNNNNNNNNNNNNNNNNNNNNNNNNNNNNNNNNNNNNNNNNNNNNNNNNNNNNNNNNNNNNNNNNNNNNNNNNNNNNNNNNNNNNNNNNNNNNNNNNNNNNNNNNNNNNNNNNNNNNNNNNNNNNNNNNNNNNNNNNNNNNNNNNNNNNNNNNNNNNNNNNNNNNNNNNNNNNNNNNNNNNNNNNNNNNNNNNNNNNNNNNNNNNNNNNNNNNNNNNNNNNNNNNNNNNNNNNNNNNNNNNNNNNNNNNNNNNNNNNNNNNNNNNNNNNNNNNNNNNNNNNNNNNNNNNNNNNNNNNNNNNNNNNNNNNNNNNNNNNNNNNNNNNNNNNNNNNNNNNNNNNNNNNNNNNNNNNNNNNNNNNNNNNNNNNNNNNNNNNNNNNNNNNNNNNNNNNNNNNNNNNNNNNNNNNNNNNNNNNNNNNNNNNNNNNNNNNNNNNNUGAAGGCUAACGAUAAAUUAUUCUGCAUUAUCUUAGUCUUAAUAUUUCUUACUGGGCUAGUUGAGCUCACCCUUUCUUUCACUGUUCUCUUCAGGAAAUGAGAACGUAGCUGGGACUAGUCGGGGAACAGAGUGAUGGUCCUAGAUGGUGCAUUAGUAGUCCUCACUAUUCUGUGAAAUAGUGUGAUACUAAUUGUAAUGAGGACUCCUUUUGAGUUUGUAUAAUCUCUAGUAGACAAUAUUUGUAUUUAAACUCACAGCUCAUGUUGUAUAUUUAAGAUUGUAUUUGUAUUCUGUACCAUGUAUUUGGCGACUCAAAAUAGGUGAUGUAUUCCUGUUUUGGGGGCGUCACAACAACAUGUUUAGGAAUCACUGCAAAUGUGGAGAAAACUUAAUUUGUGAACAGAAUUACAUAUUAAAAAAAUUCACACAAGUAUAAAAACGAAUAAAGCAUGAUCAAAUAGUAAGUACCUACCGUGAGGCAUGUUUGACAUAUUUCGAGAAGCACCUUCCUCGGUAAUGAUCAACAACUCCACUUGGCCACAAUCCUAGUAGAAUUUCACCAUGUAAUUAGUGUCUUUCUAUUUUUAAGAAUAAAGUACUUGAUUAACAUGCCAUCAACAUUAUAAUGGAACAUUUCAGCCAAUUCUUGCUUGAAAGCACUCAACUGAAUUUACUGAUCAAGAUCAAUUGGAUACGCCUCCCCACCUUUUUUAAGGCAAAGACUCAUCUUUUCCCAUCUCAAAAUCACCCAAAGACUGACAUAUAGCUAUAAUUUUCUUUGUGGUCAUCUUUGAGACAAUAAAAUUUACAAAAAUUUAUCAAGUUAAACCAAGUCUUAUAGGCUACAAUUCAAUUGAUCGUAAUCUAAGUAAAGCAACGAAACUUGUUCACAAAAUGGGUGUCCUAAAAUACGUAUCAUGAAAUUUAGCCUACAUUCACGAAUUAAUUACUUAACUACAGAAAUCAUCAAAUUAUUCUUCAAUUCACAAUAUGAAUUACUUAAUUCCAAAUUAGAACUGAAUUAAACUAAUUAUACCAAACAAUUGGAUCGAGGAGAAGGCCUUCCUUCCAUUUCCUUAUCACUGAAACAAAAACUCAUUGCAAGUAAUGUGAAAAUUAGUUAUACAAAUCAAAAUGUUCAAAUAGAAAUAUCCAUUUGUUUUCAUCUUUUCUGCAUAGCAAAACAACAAUCAACAUAUAGUCGUCAUAUAUAAUUUAGUUUAUUUAAUGCAAACCUUAAAGUUCAAUAAAAAAUUAACGAAGGGUACUCGUUACCAAAAAAAGGUAGUAAUAAGUUACAAUACCUGAAUAUUGAUCCUCAUUACCAAACUGUAAUUAGAUAAAACGGUGACAAAAGUUCAUGUAUAGUGUUGUUCCUUUGCUUUAUCAUGUAUACAUACAUGCCUUUAAGCAGUGUAAAUUUAUUGUUGUCUACAGUUUCCAUCAGUUUGAUGAUGAGAUGGAGAUGAGAUCGUUGGAAUCGAGAGACGAUUUGAGGGAAUUUACAGAGGAGGAAGAAGAGGAGGAGGAGAAGAAGAUCAAAUCGAUUGAUUCAUUAGAGAUCAAGAGAUGAGAGAUGUGAUUUAUAGAGGAGGAGAUGAAGAGAUGGGUAAACCAACAGAGAUUGGAUUUAUAGAAAUUGAUGGAAAUGAUCGAAAAAGUCAACCGAAAGAGGAAAAAGAAUCGAUUUAUGGGUGUGUUUUCUAAUCGACCGAGUUAACUCUUAAUUAAUUAAGAGUUGACUUGAUGAGUUUUUCAAUUAAAAAGAUCAAUUGUCCAGCCUUUAUAUAUAAGUAUUGAUUUACUCAAAAAUAAAAUAUUAAGGGACAAACUUUAAAAGGAUAAAUAUUACUGGAAACAAAAUAAUAUACACCACUUUAAUAUAUAAAAUAUAUAAAUGGGUUGGGCCAAAUAAUGUAGAACAUUUUCUCAUUAUGAUCAUCAAAUGUUGAAUUAAUUCGGCUUUUAUUCAGUUGUUACUUCCUGAUCCAAUAUCUAGCAAUACGAUAACUUGGGUUGUUUUUUUAAGACUGGGCCUUCCUUCAGUUCUCGAUGCCAAACUACAGCCGUUACAAAUUCAAGAAUUUAUAUUUAUAAAAUUAUUUUGGUGAUAAAAGAUUAAAAAUAAAAUUAUAUGAAUUGUAGUUAUUGGUUAUAACUAUUAGACUAAUUUUUAUAUAGAAAAACAUUUAUUAAUUAUAAUCUGACAAAUCAUAUUAUAUCCACUCUUUUUGUACCAUCUUUAAUCAUCAAAUCAUUACUCGUUUUCAUAAAGAGCUCUUCUUCUUCUAAGUGGAUAUGAAUAUAUCCGAAUUUUACCUAUUUAUAUUUUUAACCAUCAUUAGGAUCAAAAUAUAAAUAAGUAAAAUUUAAAUAAAUUCGUAUCUAAUUUUUAUGUCCACAUAUAAUUUUUGUUUCAUAAAUCCACACGAGCUUGCCUUAUUUAAUAGAUUUGGAUAUGGCAAUGACGGUAGGCAAGAAUGUGCAUCCAACCACAAAGUAUUAGUUUGGAUUGCAUAGCAAAAAUCUCCCAUCCUCUCGCCCCAUUUAUGGCCUCUCGAAAAAACUCCUUCAAGAAUUAAUAUUUUUGAGAGUUUGUGUAAUAAAAAAUAUUAAUUAUUUAAUUAUAUUUGCAAUAAUAUAAUAUUGGUCAAAAUAUAUUUAGUUUACCGUGUACUACAACGUUUUUAUACAUUUAUUGAAUAUUAUUACAUAUAAUAUUUUUUAAUCCCCAAACAUAUUUUUUUUGAAGGAAGGCAUUUCACCCUUUUUUUUUAUCGGUAGGGCAGUUUUAGUAUCAAGGGAGUAGAAAAUAAGACUACACCGACACUUCCUCUAUAUAAUGGUAAUAAUACUCGUAUCCCCUCUAAUUUUUAAGUAAUUAUUAAUACCUCUCUAAAUUUUUAAAGUUGAUUAAAUAGAUAAAAUUACGUAUUUAUCCUUGUAUAUUAUUAAAUUUUAAUUCCUGAAUAUAUAUAUAUAUAUAUAUAUAAUUAUAUGUUUUUUUAAUACAAUACAUUUUAAUUAUAGUUUUAUUUGUAAUUAAGACUAUCUCAUUUAAAUUAUUGGUAACUUAUAAAAAAAACUAAUUUAGUUUAAUUAGCACACAUUUUUGGAUAAGUGAUAUAAAUAUUAAAAAUUUUAAAUUGUUCUAAUUAAAGUGAUUGAGUAUGUUGAUAGUUUAGUUUUUGGUGUUUAAUAACAAAAAUUAUUAUUUGAAUUCUUAGUUUUUAUAUGUUAAAUUUUCUUGAGUAUAUGUCAAAAUUUGGGAUUUUUAUGAUUUUGAUUACAUUUUUAGCAUAUAAUUGGUGUUGUUUCUGUGCAAUGUUGAAUAAAAUAAAAUAUAGUAAUAUUUAUUAACACCUCUAUCUUGUAAAAAGAUUUUUUCUUUAGUAUAUUUUUUUUCUUAUUUUUAGCAACAACAUUUCUUAUUUUUACUCUAAAUAAUUAUGCAUAAGUGUGACUUAUGUUUAGUUUAAUAUUUGAGAAAAUAAUUAAUAUAAUUUUUAAUUUUUUUAUUUGAAUAAUAAUAUUCGUUCUGUAAUAAUAAGUUUGUUUUAUGUAAAUUUUAAAAUUUGGAUAAAAAAAUUAUAAUUUUUAUUUAUGUGUUAAUUUGCACUUUUUAUGGUUAUUAAAAUUUUACUUUUAGUUAAAAAAAUAUUUAAAUGUAUAUUACAUAAAUUUUAAUAUUUGAGAAAUUUAGUUUGCAAAAAGUGUAUGACUUUAUUUUUCUGAUAAAAUGAAUAUUUAUUAUUUUUUUAUAUUAUGUUAUUUAUUGCACAAAUUCAUAAUUUAAUUAAUUAUAUUAAGUUGAGUAAAAAUUAUAAUGUACAAGUUUAUAUUUUAUAGAUAUAUUAAAUAUUAUAAGUUUUAGAGUUUAUUAGACAUUAUAUUAAAAAUAUUUUUAAAUAUUAAUUGGUCGUUCACAUAGUGAAUGGUGUCUAAUUUUUAUGUUCAAUUUUUAUAUCCACCUAAAUAAGUGACGUUUUAGAAGAAAAAAUUUAUUUUAAAUUAUCUGUCGGUUACAACUUUUUAUGAGAAUAACUUAUUUACUUUUCUAUAUCACCCUUAUCUUCUCUCAUUGUCCCAAGAAAUUCUCACCCUUAGUAUUAAUAGUUUUAAAUUUCUCAUAAAGGGGUAGUGAUGGAAUUUGUCAUAUAUUUUAAUUAUUAAAUGAUAAUAUUAAAUGAUUUUUUUAAUUUAUGUACAAAAAUCUUAAACCACACUUGAAUUUAGGAAUUUAGGAAUGGAGUAUAAUUUAAAAAACUAAAGAGAUACGAGUAUUAAUAGUAGCGAAAACUAAAAAUAGAAAGUUGAAAAUGAUGAUAGUUUCUUCCACCUCAGACCUCUCGAACCGCCUUCCAGCUUCAACCCCAAUCUCGGCCAUUACGGAACCUAAGCCCAAUCCUAAAGCUCCUACUUUCUCCACCAACCAGACCGCCUCCGAGCCUUCAUCUGACCCACAGUCUCGCAAGCUCAAGGGAAGCCCUCAGCUAAAACGGUGGUCAAGGGCUCGAUUCAUUCGGUCCGGCCGGAAAUUGGACCGCUCGCUUCAGCGGACCCAGACCUGGGAGAUGAUGGACUCUCCAGUUCGUGCUACAGAGAUAGAAUCGAGUUUUCUCUCUCCUCCGACAGACGGCGCGGAGGUAGCGGAAGAGAAGGUGGGAAAGUCUAUAUACAUGGUGUCGGACGGAACGGGAUGGACGGCGGAGCAUGCAGGCUGCUUUGGGUCAGUUUGAUUACUGCUUGUUGGAUCGUGGCUGUCCCGUUAAUACGCACUUGUUCUCCGGGGUAUGCUCGUCCUUUCAUUCCAUAUGAUAUUUUUCAAUUAUUAUCCUGUAGAGUAAGCACCAUAGUAUAGUACAAUUCAUUUCACUUAAUUAUGAUUAUAAAUAAUGGUGAUUGGUGUCACAUGUGUGCAUGUUCAUCAUAAUUGUUAACGCCAAGAUCUUCUCCAACGUCCCAAUCACGUAACAUGCUUUGAUCCUGCACAGUAAACACGAUAAACACCACAAGCUUGACGGUCGGACCGUUGGGAGAUAGCUCAGGCGUGAGAGUCAGUAUAUGUGUUCACAAGGUUAACAAUGGAGGAUGUAAUGUCUAGUGUAUUGAGAGUGAUAAUAAUUCUCAGUUGUGUGUGUGUAUGGAUGUGAACGUACCUGUUUGUGAAAACUUGGUUGAUAGAUUGUACUCUCUUUGUCCGGUUUACCGUGCCACCCACUACCUCUGACACAACCCCCUGAUCUGAUGGGUUCUGCCGACUACAUGCAGUCUGUCCACUACUUUUGGUCACUGUUUAUGCCGCCGGCCGGCUAUAAUUCCAUCCACAUUAAUGCAUGACAGGUGUUUUACUCAACUGUCAUGCUUUUUCAUCAUUACAAGUCAAAAUAAUAGAUAUUAAAAGAUCCAAUGGGUUAGUCCAAUGAACCGACCCGGUUUCAUAGGAUUAAAUAGAAGUAAUAUGGUGACUAGGCCCAGUGGCUUUCAAGGUUCAAUAAUGAAGGCCCAAUAGAUUAAUUAAAAUAAGUAAGCCCAAUUUGCUCGGCCCAAAGAGGGGAAAUAUCAUGAUUUUUUAUUGAACAAAAUGUUUAAUAGAAAACUAUAAAUUAAUGGUCCAUGAUAUUUUACUAAAGGUCCAUAAUGAGAAAUAAUCGAAAUGCCCGGUUAUGGUUCAUGAGAUGAAAUGAGAGGAGACCGGAGGCCCAAAUCAAAAAGGCCCUGUCUGAUAAAUAUCUGGACCCGGAACCGGACGCUUCCCAUUCAAAUUCUAAAUCAUUACUAACAUUUAAUGUGCCGACCUUGUACACCGUGUAACCGUCAGUAUCAAAGAUAAACUUUACCAAUUUUGACGGUUUUACCUGCCAAUUUGAACUUUGAACCUUUGAGCUUUAUUCUUCUCUCUAGAACUUCUUUCCCUCUCUCUGCGAAAUCUCAAAAAUGGUGGUCCUGAAUACCAACCAGAGUUCUCCUCUCCUAGUGACUCCCAUUAACAUCGUUUCCCCCAAUCCAAACCCUGAUCAAGAGGGUUCGAGUUCAAAUCCCCAGUCCACAACAACUAUGGGGAAGAAUCCGCCCUCGAUACCUUCUCUGCCACCUACUGACUUCUUUAAAGAUGGGGAACAGUUUCCUCAUGCCAAUACCCCCUCUACUGUUACGGAAGCUGAGAUACGUAUCCUCCGGACUCGCUAUCAGAUUCCGGAUAUGUACGCAACAAGGGCUCCUGCUCCCGAAGAACGCAUGUACCAUCGACCGGAUGGUUGGGUCGCUAUGCCAGUUACUUUUCUCGAAAAGGGAAUUCGCCUACCCCUCCAUGCCUUCGUCGUUACCCUCCUAGGGUUUAUAGGAGUGGGAUUUGCCCAGUUGGUUCCUAAUUCCUAUAUCCAUAUCCUGGCAUUCAUUGCCUUCUGUCACGAACUAGGGAUUCCUCCAUCUGUUGACAUUUUCUUUACCCUCUUCUCAGCCGGUAGAUCCCGAGAACGAGGUUUCAAAAUGUUGAGCAAACAGUCUCCUCGACCCAACGCCAGAUUUGAGAAGAGACCCCUGAUGGAUACCCCUUCAAGCAACAAGGGUUGGCACGAAAAAUGGUUUUUCGUUACAGGACCUGAAAUCUCUUCUCUUCCCGAUUGGACUAUCCCUGAUCGGAUCUCUGCUGACUUUGGAGAUAUCCCCGAAGAGCGUGUGAAGGAAAUGGCAGAUUUUUUGAAGAAGAUUCAUCCGAAGGAAUGGAGUUUUGCACUUCUGACUAAGCAAGCCUGGUUAUAUGACCAUAAAUGUAAGUUUCGAACAACUUUGUAACACAGUUUUUUGAGGUAUUUAAGUGACAUGGGUUCUGAUACAUGGUUAUUUGCAGUGUCUUUGAUCAAACCAACUUCUUCGGAAGUAAAAGAGUUGGAAGACUUCUUGGCUAGGAAAACCGUGGAUGCAAGUGAAGAGCCUCUGACUGAAGAAUCUCCCCGAGUUGAUCCCCUCAUUACCGAUCCACCUACUGUUUCUCUUCGGGAUGACGAACCCCAAACUGAUGAACCCAUUGUUGUUGAAGAAUCUCUUAGGCCUCGUCGAAGAAAAAAAGCCGCCAAUAAAUCUAAGUCCACCCGGCCGGAAACAAAUCCUGAGAGCGAUCCGGAAACAAUUCCAGAAGCAAUUCCACAAGCAAACCCUUCAUCCAACCCUAGUUCUGUACCUUCUGAACCUGUUCCGAUUAAGAGAAGCCUACUUGACAUACCUCUACACGAUCGGGCGAAGGUCCUCCGUGUUAAGAAGUUAAGAACAAAGAUUACUCCAUUGACUGCCGAUGAGCUCCGAGUUCCAUCGUCUUCGACUGACAUUCCCCCAAUAAUCCCAGCUGAAAUUCAAGUGCCUAAUGAUGAGCUGGUCGAAUCUGUCCCCAUCUUAUCUCGAAAAAGUAAACAACCAUCAGAUAGCCAUCCAGGUUCAUCCUCUGCUCCCUCACCAGUCCACGAACCUAAUCCUGUUCGAUCUCCCUCUCCGAAAAAUAUAUAUGUGGAUCCCUCGCCAGUUCGCAAUCAGUCCAUGUCCUCUCCUCCAAGACAGUCAACCUCUGAAUUCCAGCAUGAUGCUAUGGCCUCUCCAACCAUGUGGCCUCGAUUUAAUGCCAACUUCCCCUUCCAAUUGUUUGACGCUUUCGUCCGUGAGACCAAUGACCAUCGAUUUGGGAACAGUUUGAACAGGGAUUUGCUUAACGAAGGCAUGAGCUAUCUGGCAAAGGUAAAUGGUUCUCUUUUUAACUUACGUAUUUAUCUUCAUACUUAUACAGUUGAAACUGAUCAAAUAAUGCUGUGUUCGGACGUCUGUGUCCAAAGUCUAUCGACGCUGAAGCCGAAGAAGAGGCAAUGAGAAAGGAGAAUGACAUCCUGAAGUCUGCUCUGGCUCGGGAAAGGACUCAACGUGAGAGCGUUCUUCACACAAAUGAAGGUCUUCAGAAAGAGUUGGCCCAAGCCAAAGGAGAUGUGAAGACAUCCAAUGAAGAACUGAAGUCAACUAAAGCACAAUAUGAGGAGAUCGUCAAGAUGAACGUUGAUUUGGUUCAGAGGAGCGAAAUAAGGAUGGAGAAGAUCAAAGAGUUAAAGGCUGAUGCUAAGAUCUUGACUAAAACGAUCCAAAAGCUAGAGCUAGCAGAAACUCGUCAUCUGAAUAAGCGUCAGAAGCUUGAAGAAGAAAUCCGAGAACUCAAGGCUCUUCGGGACCUUGGGCCUCCUUUGACCGAUGAUCUUCGGAAGCAGAUCUGUGAAGAGUAUCGGACAUCGGAUGAGAUUAACGGAGAGAUCAUGAAGAUAUAUUCUGAAAGCUAUGAGCUCUGCCGGAGUCGUGGCAAGGAGAAGUUGAUUACAGCUAACGUGGAUCCAACUUUGCUCGACUCUUCAGAUGGCGAGGAUGAUGCAUGAAGUGAAUACUCUUGUCUUUCCUGGAUUUUAUUUAAGAAUAUUUGUGAAAAUUUCUGUUAUUUUGGAAAUUGGUUAAGGAUUUUGUUUUAAAAACUUUUACCAUGACUUCUAUUGUUCUGAAAUUAUGUUGGAAUUUAUGUUUCUGCACAAUAGGUUUAUCGUUAUGUACGAAUCAGACUAAUAUUUAUUAAUGAAUUUUUCAUUGGUUAUGUCCUGACUUCGGCAUAAUACUUUUCGUUUCUUGUCAAUAAUUCAGUACCAAUGGACUUGAAUGAACUGAGCUUAAAUUGUGAAUCAGUUAAGACAUAUAACAGUUAAGAAUGAAAUGAAGUAAACUGAAUUUAAUGAAUAGAAUUUAAUGAACUGAAUUGAAUGAACUGAACUCAACACUUGAACAAAAUAAAGUAAUGUAUACUUAUCGUUUUCGAAGUGUGAGAUCGGUCAUGUGUCAGAUGAAUUCGGCUGAUCCUCUUUGCACCAUCGAAAUUUUGUUUACCACUCGGGGUGAAACAAUUAUAUAGGAACCAAGAUAUAAGGAUCAUGGAAUUUGUCUACCACACGGGGUCACAAAUUUAUAGGAACACUCCUGACAAUAAGGCUGCCAUCGAAUGGCUAGCAAGUCCGACCAUACCUCCUUACUCCAGUGCAUUUUGUUUACCACUCGCGGUAAAUCAAAAUUAAGAGGAUCAUGGAAUUUGUCUACCACGCAGGGUAUAACAAAAUCAUAAGGACACUCCUUCCGAAGAGGCUACAAUCGAAUGGUCAGCGAGUCCACCCCGUCCUCCUUACUUCGGUGAACUAUUGAUUUACCAUCCUCGGUAAAAGCAAUAUAAAGGAACAUAGGAUUUGUCUACCACGCUGGGCAACAAAUAGAUAGGCUACUAUCGAAUGGCCAGCGAGUCCGACCAUACCUCCUUACACCAUUGUGAACUUAGGACAAAUAAGAAGAGAAUCAGUUGUGAAAAAGUGAACUUUUAUAGAUGGUGAACAAUCAUGUACAGACUUCUUGGUAAACUGACUCGAUCUCUACUGGAAAUAUUUUCGAAGCCUGCCUGCAUGCCAAGUGUUCUUGAUCUCGGAUCCAUCUAAUGCUUUUAAAUAAUAAGUCCCUGGCUUUGGUAUUUCGAUCACCUCAUACGGCCCUUCCCAGUUCGGCAUUAACUUUCCUGUGUUUUGAGGCGUAGACGCUUCGGCUUCUCUGAGGACGAAGUCUCCUACUUCGAAUCUGCGAAGUUUAACCCCUUUGUUGUAAUGCUUAGCUACUCUUCGUUGAUAAGCAGCCAAUUUGAGCAAAGCUACCUCUCUGACUUCUUCUAGCAGAUCCAAGUUGGCCUUCAGUCCUUCGUCAUUGUAGAUCUCUUUGAAUUGACUGACCCGAAGACUUGGAGAUCCGAUUUCGACUGGGACUAAGGCAUCAGUACCAUAGGCCAAUCGAAAAGGUGAAUCCCCUGUGGUGGUCCUCGGUGUAGUCCGGUAAGCCCACAGCACGCUGAGCAGUUCUUCUGGCCAUCUUCCUUUAGCUUCAUCCAGUCUGCGCUUGAUCCCGUUCAGCAGCGUCCUGUUGGUCACCUCGACUUGCCCGUUCGACUGUGGAUGAGCCACCGAAGUCUUCUUGUGCUGAACCCCCAGCUCCUUCAAAAAUCCUUCAAAUUUUGAUCCCACGAACUGGCGUCCAUUGUCUGAUAUCACCACUUUGGGAAUUCCGAAGCGAAAUAUUACGGACUCUUUCAUGAACUUCAAACAUUCCUGCUCUGUUAUCAACCGAAGUGGCUUCGCCUCUACCCACUUGGUCAUAUAAUCAAUGGCAACUAUAACGAAACUGACCUGCCCUUUCGCUUUCGGCAAUGGACCCAGUAUAUCAACCCCCCAGACAACAAAGGGUAUAGGAGAUAGAAUCGAGUAUAGCUCUUCUGGUGGCUGAUGUGGGAUCGGACUGUUGAGCUGACACUUCUCACACUUCUUCACGUACUCGGUAGCUUCCUUGAAGAUCGUUGGCCAGUAGUACCCUUGCCGAAGAACUUUGUAUGCUAAUGACUUAGAAGCCAUGUGAUCGCCGCAAAUGCCUUCAUGAACUUCCCAAAGGGCAUACUCAGCUUCAGACGGAACCAAACACUUCAAUAGCGGUGACGAAAAUGCCCUUCGAUAAAGAUCCCCAUCAAUAAGAACGAAGUUGACACUCUUGUACUUGAUCUUCUUUGCCAGCAUCUGAUCCGAAGGAAGGACGCCAUCUGCCAAAUAUUCGAUGUAGGGAGUCAUCCAGCAGUUAUAUCGCUCGAUACACAUCACCGCUUCAUGCUGAACACUCGGCUGCUGCAAAACUUCCAAAUAAACCGAUCCGUUGAAAACAUCUGCAUCCGUAGUGACCAGCUUCGACAGUGCAUCGGCAAUGGAAUUGUCGUUACGCUCUAUGCCCUGAAACUCAUAAGAAGCGAAAUACUAAAGUCGGUCUUUUAAUUCUGCCAGAUACUUGAUCAUCCUGGUCCCACGAGCUUCAUAAUCUCUCGACAGUUGUUUGACGACCAACUGAGAGUCACUGUAAAUGAUCAGCUUCUGGACCUCUAGACUCUUCGCCAGUCGAACUCCUGCUAACACUGCUUCAUACUCGGCCUCGUUGUUUGUUGCUUUGAACCCAAAUCUGAUUGCUUGCUGCACCUUGAAUCCUUCCGGACUUGUCAAUAUAAUCCCUGCCCCACUAACAGUCGCUGUAGAGGAUCCAUCUGCAUACAGCGUCCAUGCACUCUGUCCCUGCUAAAGAACUGCAACUGCUCGAUCGGACGUCUCAGCUUCUGGCCGUUCAGCAUCUGCUUCGGUGAACGAGCACUCCACCAUAAAAUCGGCCAAGGCCUGCCCUUUGAUAGCGGUUCGGGGAUGAUACUCAAUGAAAAAUUGGGACAACUCCAUAGUCCACGCUGUUAAUCUCCCUGAAACCUCUGGCUUGCCCAUCACUUUCUUCAAUGGCUGAUCCGUGUAGACGACCAGGAGCCGACCUUGAAAAUAUUGCCGAAGCUUUCUACUAGCAGUUAUCAAAGCAAAAACAAAUUUUUCAAUAUUCGGGUACCUGGUUUCAGCAUCUCGUAGGACGUAACUGACAUAAUAGACCGGAUGCUGCUUCCCAUUGACCUCCCGAACCAGCACUGCUCCAACUGCCAACGAACUUGCUGCAAGGUACAAAUAUAAGGUCUCUGCUGGGGCAGGCUUCACCAAUAAAGGAGCAAAAGACAGAUGUCUUUAUGCCUUAGAAGGCGUCUUCACACUCCGAAGUCCACUGGAACGUCUUCGCAUUCUUCGGCCCCUUCAAUGUGUCGAAGAACGGCAAGCAUCUUUCUGCAGAUUUGGACAUGAACCUUCUUAAAGCUGCAAUCCUUCCAGUCAGACGUUGGACGUCUUUGAACGACUGAGGAGUCUUCAUAUCAAGAAUGGUCUGGAUCUUUUCCGGGUUGGCCUCGAUGCCCCUCUGACUGACCAGAUAUCCCAGAAACUUUCCUGCACCGAGGCCGAAAGUGCAUUUGGCCGGAUUGAGCCUCAGCUGACGAUGACGGACAGUCUGGAAAUAUUCCUCCAGAUCGUCCAAAUGCUUCUGAACCUGCAUGCUCUUCACGAUCAUGUCAUCUACAUAAACCUCCAUGUUUCUCCCUAGUUGCUUGUUGAAGACGAAGUUCAUCAUUCUCUGGUAAGUGGCUCUGGCAUUUAUAAGGCCAAAGGUCAUCUUCUUAUAGGCAUACACCGAACGGUGUGUAAUGAAUGCUGUCUUCGGAAUGUCCUCCCUGCACAUGGAAAUUUGAUGGUAACCUGAAAAACCAUCCAUAAAGCUUAGUAAUGCAUACCCCGAAGUGGCAUCGAUGAGCUGGUCGAUAUGGGGCAAAGGAUAAAAGUCCUUUGGACAAGCUUUAUUCAGAUCGGUGUAGUCGAUGCAAAUCCGCCAUUUUCCAUUCUGCUUCUGCACCAACACCACAUUCGCCAUCCACUCCGGGUAAUCAAUUUCAUAGAUGAAGUCAGCAGCUAACAGCUUUGCAAUCUCCUCAUCAAUGAUCUUCUGUCGCUCCGGUGAAAAAUCCGCCUUUUCUGCCGAACUGGCUUCUUCGAGGGAUCUACAUCUAGUCUGUGCUCAGCUAUCUUUCGGCUAACUCCCGGCAUGUCCUGUGGUUCCCAUACAAAAAUGUCCACAUAGCAACGAAGGAGCUCCAUGAGGUUUGUCCGAAGAGGUUCUGGCAGACCCGAACCAAUCUUCACUGUCUUUUCUGGCUUUCCAGGGAUUAGCUCAAUCUCUUCCGUCUCUCCUACAGGAAUUACCAAUGGCUCCGAGCUGCUUUCAGUGAAGGGCUCGAUCUCAAUUGCCAUGGUUUGUUUCUGUUUGCUGACCCCCACUCCGGAAGAUAUAACCGCAUUUUUAUAACAUCGUCGGGCCAGAUCUAAGUCCCCUGCCACUUCUCCGACUCCAUGUGCCGUGGGGAACUUGAUUUUGAAGUGAGGGAUGGAAGUUACCACUUGGAGAGCUGUCAGUGUAGGCCUUCCCAAUAUGGCGUUGUAAGCCGAAUCUACAUGCACAACAUAAAAUUUACAUAUUAUUUCUACCGGAUCGUUGCUAAAGCCAUAUAAAGGAGCCUCUUGCCCGACCUCCAUCUUCCGCCCAUCAAGAUGCAUCCUCUGAUAAGCAUGAACAUAUAAAAUGUCUACAGAAGACCCGUUGUCUAUCAUCAUGCGCUUCACAUCUACCGAACCCACCUGCGCUGUGAUCACUAACGCCCCCUCAUGCGGCUCGAUAGGCUCCGAAGGAUAAUCUGCAUCGGUGAAAUAAAUAACAGUCCCUGGAAAAGGUCUGUCGGCCUUCGGGGGAGCACCCGCCACGGACAUGACCGAAUCUAGAUAUCCUCUCCUCUUCUUCCCUACCAACUUCCCUGCCGUCCCGCCGGUUAUUACAUCAAUGACGUGCCUUGGCGGUGGUAUUGGAAUACUUUGGGCGGGUAGGACCGUUUGGACGGUCUGAACAGUACGAUCAGCAUUUUGCUGACCUUGUUGGUCCUUCCCGGCCACAUACUGAACCAGCAAACCGUUUUGAAUCUUCCUAUCUACGAAAUCUUUCAAAUUGCAACAUUUAUUAGUAUCGUGACCAGCGGCUUGAUGGUAGCCACAAUAUUUUCGGGUAUUGCCUUGCCCUGGCUUGAUGUGGUCACGAGGCGGCUCAUAGAAUGGCUGGUUCCUGAUCUGGUCCAAAAUUACCGACCUAUCCGUGUUCAGCUUGGUGUAAACCUUAUUCACCUUCGAGGCGGACGCAGGUGGACGACUACUCCUCUGUCGCCAUGAGUUAUUGAACUUCUUUGAACUGCCCUCUGGCCGAUCAUUAUAUCCUCCCCCCUUUCUCUGAUCGCCAUCUGCCUUAGGAUCAUCUGCAUCCUUUAACUGGUCCGAAGAAGAACGUUUCAGGCUAUUCAUAGCCUCCUCUACAACGAUAUAUCCUUCUACUUUGUCAAAAGCUUCUGCCAGGCUCUUCGGAUGGUUGAACAUCAACUUUUUCACCAACUUCUCGGACUUUACCAGAUCUAGGCCAUUCUGAAACAAACCUAUGGCCUGGAGAUCAUUGAGGUCGGACACCUGACCAACUGCUUCUCUGAACCUCUUCACAUAUUGACCGAAGGACUCGUUGGUGAACUGCCGGACCUGUGAUAAUGAACCAGUGGGCUUCCCUCUCCUUCGGUUACUCCCAAAGCGGGCAUGGAACUUAUCGCAAAGCUCGGUCCAAGAGGAAAUUGAAUCUGACGGCAAAGUCCCCAUCCACUGCCUCGCAUCUUUCCUCAAUGUCGUAACAAAUGUGUGGCACUUGGCAGCAUCAGUGAAAUCAUAAUAAUCCAUUAGCCGGUCGAACGCCUGGCUAUGGUCGUAAGGGUCCCCGGACCCAUCGUAACUCUCCAUACGAGGCAACUUCUUGGUGAUAUCUACCUUCUCCUUGAGAAUAUCCGAGGAAAAAGGGGAUGCCUUCCUUCCCGGAGUGUCCUUCACCUGUUGAACCUCAGCCAACUGCUUUCGGAGCUCUUUCAACUCCUUCACUAAAAAAUCAACACCUUCGGGCUGCGAGGAGACCUCUUUCUCCUGAACGACAUUCUGCCUCUGAGUGGAUCGACCUCCUCCUGCCGAUCCCAUUGCCCUUGUGGGGCUUCUGGAUCUACUCCGGCGUACAAUUUUGUCCUCAUGAUGAGAAUGGUCACGCUGAUGUUCUCUUCUUCUGGCUUCUGGCACGAUCUCCCUCGACCUGUUCCUUCGCUUGUCGUCGUCUCGAUGCUGAGAACCAACGACCACCAGUGCCUUCUUCGAGGCCACGGGAGUUCUGCUCCUCGAUCUCCUCCUACCGUGAGAACGAUCUCUAGACACAUGUGUAGAAUGCUCCGGCUCUUUAUCCUCUCGCCGUGGCAUCUCCUUAUGCUUACUCCGCCUUUCGGACUGAACAUGGCUAGAUGCUUUGUCCCUUAACUCCGCCACCCGAAGCAUCUGUUCGGCUAUAUCUUCUCUC
rnacentral:lncRNA from 1 species